UAUUUAUUAAUUAAUUAUUUCAUUUUUCUUGAAGUUUGUAUAUUUAAUUAGAGAUUUCAUCAAUAACCAGCUAUAUAAUUUGUGCGGUUUUCAGCCUUGAUUAUUCCGUCAUUCGGUCUGGAUUUGUUGACUAUAAGUGCAAACAAGUGCCCUCAUGACCUGACAGACUUCCACCGCGUAACUGCUGCUUGCUUCAGAUCAUGUCCAAUAUUCGUGCAACGGUGCAAGUUUCGAGUCUUGAAGCGUAGGAUUGCAAGAAUCCCCCUGCAGUUACGGGUAAUCCCAAAACUGCCCCAUUUUUUGUCCAACAGGUUCAAAUUUAAGAAAAAUAAUGUUUACUGGUAUAUGAUUUUUGCAAGCUUCUGUUUUUCUUUUUGCUCGUCUUUUAAAUUGAUAUGGUGUGUUUCAUUAAUUAUUGUGUUUUAUGUCAUCUUAAAUGGCAAGUGAAUCAAGUGAUGUACACAAUUAUUCAAUGAGAUAAAUUUAUUAAUUGAUGUGACAUAUCACAUCAAAUUGUACGUAAAUAUGGUAUAAACAUAUGUGAUUUCCUAACAUUUUCGGAUUUUCCUAGUAAUAUUAUAUGGCGUGUUAUUGUGCUUUAUACAUACAAUAUCAAGUUUUUCUUUUUCUUUUUUAUUGGAACAUACAAUAUCAAGUUAUUAGAUUAUUUUAUGGUACUAUAUUAGGGACUGUAUACCUGGCGGUGGGACGGUUAUGAUGUAGGCAACCUUGAUCUGAAUCCGGCCCGUUGCCAUCCCUUGCUAUUCCCAAAUUGUUAUCUCUAGAUAUGCUUACUAGGAGUCCAUUAAUUGAAUAUUAUUUCAAUUUUACUAUAAAUUUGUAUAGGUAAAUGCUAGGGACAUUAAAUUAUUACUUUAAUCUAAAGUACGGUUUGAAAUUGGCACUAUUCAAAUGAACAGUGUUUCAAUUCGAAUUUCAGAUUAAUUACCACCAUGCCAUUGGUUUUUGUGUUGGUUUUGGGUCAGCAGCCCGUCCCUCAGCCAGGCCCAAAUGUGUUGGCUUUAGCAGGGAAGACCGGCCCUCAGUGAGGCCCAAAUUAUUUAAUUACAUUUUUGCCCAUCAAAGAUUACAAUCCGACGGUGGGGAUGGUGUAUUACGAAGGGCAAUUUUGUCCUCUCCGUUUUGGGCGAGUAGGGGGUCACCGGUUGGUAUCAUUUGAUGUCGUUCAAUUAGGGUUUCGGGGAGGUCUGUGAGAGAGAGAGAGAGAGAGAGAGAGACAGAGACAGAGACAGACAGAGACAGACAGAGAGAGAUGGCGAUGGAAGGAGAGCGAGGGGGAGGGGUAGGGGUCUCGGCACUGUUGUUGCAGAUGGGAGGGUCGGUAUGGUCAGAGAAGACCAUAUGGGUCGUCGGGAUUUUGGGGAGACGGGGUAGGGGUCAUCUGCAAACCCUACUGAGAGUGGGGUGUGCCGGAUCUUGUGCUGCAUGCCUCGAAUCCAAAGAUAUGUUUUGGGGGAUUUGUGAUCUUACAGAGAGAGAUGGAUAGGGAGAUAGAGAUAGACAGAGAGAGGAGAAAGCAUGGCUGUGUGCAUUUUUUGGGGUUAAUUAAUGGGUUAAUGCGCAGGGUCAGUGAGGAGAGAGUGACAGAGGGGUGUAUGGCAGGGUAUGGGUUUUCAGUUUUUCCCUCUGAUUCAAUAAGUUAUGCACUGUUUGAAAAUAAUUGUUUAUUGUUUUGUUUUCCGUUGGCUUUGUUAAAACCAUCAUUUGAAUUGUUUGGUUUCACUGUGCUCAUUUCUGGGCUUCUUCAAAAUUUUCUGGUGUUUGCUUCUCAUUCCCCUGUUGGUUGAUUUUUUUUUUCCCAUUUCUUGGUUCUUUAUGUAUUCCUUGGUUCUGUCUAAAUUUUUGCUGUGGGAUGAUGCUUGCAGGUGAACUAUAUGCACGGUUUUUUGAGACGAGUUAAGAAGAUCCACCUGAAAACAACAUACAAGAUAGAGAACUAGUAUGCUGCUUUGUCUUUCUGUUGGAUUUUGAUGUUUAUGUUCUGCUACUAAGAGGAUUUUAUAGUGUUCUAAAUCUGUUUUGUAAAUGUGCUUAAAUAUUGGACAUGUUCUUGAAUAUUAGCCAUGUUGUUUGAAUUGGAUAUGUGAUUGAAUAUUAGGUAUUUAUUUUGAAUUGAUUUGGAUAUGUGGUUUAUUGAAUUAGAAUUUGGAUAUGUGCUGAUUUGAAUUGGAUAUGUUGAAUUAGAGAUGUGCUACUUUGAAUUGGAUAGGUUGAAAAAUGACAAGCGAUGGUAAAAUAUGUUUGGAAUACACUAGAAAAAUUAGAUAGAGGCUUGAAAGGACUAGAUCGAGUACAUUUGAAAGAACUAUCAGUACAAGACAACUUUGUUUAGUGUUUUUGUAGUGGUGUUCUAAUUGCAGCUUCAUAGUUUUAGUCUAAUGUUUUUGUUGUACAGUUUUUAACAACCGAAUCUAAAAUCCCUCUGUACUUUAAAGUCUCUCCUCCAGACAUCACAUUAGAGAAUUAUAACUAUUCAACAUUCUUGGUGCAUCGGCAUAUUAAUGAUUGUAUCACAGAAUUUUGGCAAAGUUCCUUGAAUUAUUGAACAGUUAAUGCUUUCCAAAUGUUUUACUUUGAUUCAUUGUCUCACAUUUUCCAUGGUACAAGUUUACAUGAUUGCAAGCCGAUAGAAAGAGAUAUAUGUAGGGAGAAGCGGGAAUUGGGGAGAGAGAGAGAGUGAGCGAGGGGUGCGGUUGCUUUUUAAAGAUAUCUUUGAAAUUGUUUCUGCAGUUUUUUUUUUUUCUUUUGGGUGAAUUUUCUUGAGUUCUUUCUGUUUGUUUGGAAUUAUUCCAUUUUUACUGAGAUUCUUUUGGUCCCUGCCACUAAACUCUGAUUUCUGCUAUUAAUUGCUGUUGACAUGUGACUUUUGCUAUUAAUUUUGUAAAUUAAUUUAAUUAAGAUGCUCAAUGUUCCCUUAAUUGUGAUUAAGAUGGUCACAAUCCUACCAUCCUCUGUAUGCUCUGCCAUGUCCGCCGCCAAUGUUUUAUUUUUACUUUUUAACCCUUUCGUACAACAUUUAAAUAAUCAGGUGGAAAUAGUAAUUCUAUUUUUCGACAAACGAUAGUGUUAGUAGGUUAAAUUGUUAGUUGUUAUGAGAGAAGGAGAUCGUUCUAGAGAUCAAACUCUCAUAAAAAUAUAUGAUGAUUUCUGCAAAUGCGAUCAGCAGUUGCAUAUUACAAUAUACAGCUUCAGUUGGCAUCAGUUUCUUAAUGAGUGGCAUGUGAAUUCUUAAUUUAAUUUCGGAAAGAAAUGCGUUUAAAUUUGGUGGUAUGUGAUGAAGUUAGCAUUCUGUUUUUUAUUAUAUACUGGUGAUGGACAUUUUUAGCAUAUUGGAUUUAUCAUUUUCUAUAAAAUGAAGCUUCAUUCUCACUAUGUUGUUGAUGUUUUUUGUGAUUUCAGUUUAUAGUGCUUCUAAAUGCUGUUUUAAUUUAGGAAUUUGAAUAAUUGUUUAAAUGGGAUUGGAGGGUGAUAAAUAUUUCUAGCUAGGGAAAGGUCACAUCCAUGUGUUGGUCGAAUUGAUGGAUGUAAAAAAUGAAUAUGGAUGAACGUCUAGCUACUGCAUGUAGAUUCAGCUUUCCUUUGCAUUUGAGUGAGUUGGAAACCGAGUGGAACAGUUUGAGAGAGAGAGGGAGGGAGGGAGGGAGAGAGAGAGAGAGGACGAUGUUGGGAUUUUGGUAAAGAUUUGAGCUUUAGUUGUAAGCAUGCUGAUAUGAGCUCACAGUAAAACCCAACAGUAUGUAGAUUGAAUUGAGUUGGGAACUGAGUGGAAAAAUAUUAGAGAGGAUUGUGUUUUCUGAUGCGUCUUUGAGCCACUGACCAUAGGUGGAGUCUUAUACUGCAAUAUUAUGUGCUAAUCUAAUAAACCCUGCAACUUAUUCAUCUUUGUCAUGAGUAAUUUUUGGUUUUUUUCAUUGGAAUAGGGAUUUAGUGGAUGGUUGUUUUUAACGCAUAUUAGUUAAAAUGAGUUGAGUAUUGGGUGCUAAUCCCAUGUCUGCAAAUCACAGUACCCUAAGGAAGAAACACUGUCUGCACGAUCUAUAAUACCUGUUCAAGCAAGAAUCUUUUCCCAAACUAAAAAGCUUACAUAUCAAAACGUGUAAAGGAUGUGCCACUAUCAUCUUACUUUUUCAAUACCUAAACCAUGCAGUGAUGCAUGGGCUGGAUAUUGCUCCUUUCAAGUUUCAAAUCAUCAAAUGCUAAAGGUUUCUAGAUAAAUCAUCAUAGAAGUCGAUUCUGCAGAUUCCUUCUUAGUUACACUCAGAUGAUAAUGUAUUUAUAGUCCUUGACAUGUUUUUAAAGUUUGCAUUUUCAAUGUAUAUAUCAUUAACUAAGCUUUAUCAGCAGAAUAUCAUCGCAAAUUUGUUACGGAAAAUGCUAUUGCUAGAUUCUGAUUUAUCUACUUUAGUUUUAAGGAUUACACAUUGUUUUACGAUAUAAAAUAGAUGUUCUGCCUUGAUUUGAUGCGGGGGUAUGCAUUAGCUAACAUUAAUUCUGUUUAGUAUUUCUCAAAUUCAUUUUGGGUUAAAAAGUUGGAGCUUUGGAUUGGGUUUUUUCUUUAUUCAGCUAUCAUUUUCUGCUUAGGAGACUCUCUUAAACUGUCUGAAACUGUGCUCAUUAGGCUGGGCAGAGCACUGACAAGCUAAAAACAAAACAAAAACAAGCAGAAUUAUCACAUGUAGUGCAGGAUGUUGAAUGUCUUUUCCUCAUUGCAAAUCCUAAACGACCCAAAUCUGGAUGGUAAAAUACUUCGAGUUGGAAUUAAUAGGAUCGAUUGAAACAUGGAUUUUUUUUAUUAGAUUGGUAUAUCUGACUUAAUUAAGAAGUAGUUUAAGACAGUCAUUAGGGAAUUUCUGUAAUUGAACGUAGUUGUUUUCAUGAGGUUGAUAAAUACAAUAAGGUGCUUCUAUACCAAUAAGUGAUUUUAUACGGACACAUUGUAUGAUGUAAAAUGGUAAAAGGAGUACCCAUUCCUGUCCAGUCUUAUGUUUUCCGAGUCUUGCUUAUUUUUCAUUAGUCAUAUGAAAGAUGCUGCAAUACCGUGGGAUCAUAAUAGCUAAGAAACUGGACUUGGACAUCUUUAUUCUAUAGAGCGUUUGUAAAAGUAAUUUAGACUUUAUUAAGUUUAUAUUAAUCCUUCACUUCUGUUCAUUCAUUGUAAUUUCUAUUUGGUUUGUCUGCAUUUGUCUUAGGAGACUCUGUGGGGCUGCUUAAAUUUUAUAUAUUCAAUUGCAUAGAGUCGGCAUGACAUGCACAGAGAUUGUCAGAUUGCCACCCUUAGUUGGUGAUAUUAUCUUUACAACACAUUCAAAUUGAGGAUUUAGAAAAUCUAAUAAUAAAAUUGAAAUAUAUGUUCGAUGCUUUUUGUUUUCAUUUUCGGUUAAAAGGUUUCAGCUUUGGAUUGGUAUUUACCUUUAUUAAUCUAUAAUUUUGUGCUCAGGACACCAUCUUGGGGGUCUUAAUAUGAUUGUUCUUCUAUUUCAUAGACUCAAAACGUGUUUAGUGUCUCAUUUAAUUGGUGUACCUUUGCUCAUUUAACUCAAAUUUAAUACGAUUUGGUCCUCCAAUUUCUCUAAAUUGCUAACGGAUUUAUUUUCUUUGGAAAUUUCAGGAACUCUGGUUGUGGUAGGAACAAGCCGGCUCCUUGCUAUUUUUAGGUAUAUGAUUAUGUGCCUUGAUUGCAUGUUCAAAGUCUAAUUAGUUAUAUAAACUUUUAAUUUAUCUUUGCAAAGCUUUUGUACUUGGAUUUUAGAUAUGUGAUUGGUUUUUGAAAAAUUAAUGAGAAGGCUAAUCAUGGGGACAUUCUUAUUUCUGAAAUUUUCUCUUCAGCAUUGUUUCUUGAAUAAAUUUGGAUUGGUAGAUGUAGGGGUAGAGCAACACCCGUGGUGUAAAUAAAAGGUAUAGGCGUAAUGAUUUCUAGGUUUAGAAUUCAUUCAAAAAUAUGAUAUAAUGCUGCGUUCUCUAAUUUUUUUUUUUUGCUGUUUGCUGUUCUAAACUUUUGAACUCCUUUUUGGAUUGAUCUUUGUUAUUUUGUUUUUGGGGGUAUCUGAUAGGUCAAGGUUGCCUAAUCUUGGUUGUACUUUUUCCCAAGACAUGGCACAUUUGAAACUUUGAAUUCUUGAGUUUAUAUUUUAAUUCUCAUUAGUUAAUGCGUAAUAUUUGGCCUUUUAUUUUGAGAUUAGAAUGAAUACGUUUGGCCUGAAAGACAGUAAACUGAAUUAAAAGCUGGCUUAUUUUCCAUUGGCCAUCAAUUAGGGUGAGAAAACAUUGAAUUGAGAUCCUUAAACAGCGCUCAUAUAGGGUACUAUACCAAAUGAGCUCGAAGAGGACUCAGCAAUUGAAGAACAAUUGAUGGGCAUACACCUUGGACAUGAUUAAGUUAGUUGAACAUUAUACUAUAACAAGUACAUAUUUCUGCUAAAGGACCAUACCAAAUAAGGAGUCAGGUUCACACACAGACACGCACACACACAUCUGAUGUAAAGUUAUUCUAUUAGAUGGUUUCCAGAUUGACCCCCCCUUGCUAAAUCUAUUUCAAGGCUGGAAGGAGAGUUAAAACAUAUGUUAUUGUCUUAUAUGUUUGUAUUUGAAUGGUAACGAUGUUGUUCUUCUGGUGGAAAAAUUUUCCUUUGAAUCCAUUUCAGCUUAGGCUCUACUUUUUUAUUUCAUUUCAACGUCAUUUUCAUGUUCAUCAUGCCCUGUUGGUAUGUGUUUUGUGUUGGCAUUGGAGGGUGGUGGGUUGUCGUUUUGUUUUUCUUUUCUUUGAUUGUAAGACCUUCUAACGAUUGAAUUUAUUUUAUGCGACUCAUUUUGAUCCCCUAGUUUGAGUUUUUCAGUUACGUAUCAAUACUUAACUGCUGGAUUUUUCUUAAGGAAAUUGGAUAUAGGCUAUAUACUAUGUGCAAAAUUCAUGGAGAUCAAGUUUUUGUUGGGUUUUUGACUCAAAAUUAGGAUGAUGCAAUAAAUUAGGUUUGUGUUACCUAUUUGGUUUUGGUGUCCUAUUUGGGUUUGGUUUUGACUUCUUAGUUAGUUUCCUUGGUGGAGAGAUUUUGUUAAUUACCUAUUUGAUUAGGAUUUGGAUUUAUUUCCUAUUAGGAUUCAUAUUGUAACCUAAGUCCUAUGCACUAUAAAUAGGACCUUAGGGUUAGUGUAUUUAGUGUGGCUCAUUCGUGUGGCAAUUUGGUGAGAGUCAAGUUUCAGGCCCUAGGAAGUGGGAGGAAAGCUAAAGCUUUGUGGGGUUGUCUGGUCUCGGCAGUUUUUUGGAACAUUUGGCUGGAGCGUAACAAAAGAAUUUUUGAGGAUUAUACAGGUGUGGGGGUAGAAGUACUUUGGGGAAGAGUAAAAUAUUGGGCAGCCCUUUGGGCUUCAGUCUCAAAUGUUUUUAAUAAUUACUCUAUUUCUCAAUUACUGUGGGAUUUGUUAGCAGCAGUAAAGUGAGUUAGGUCUAGCUAAUGUUGCUGUAGCCAAAUCCUAGUGAGAGUUUUUUCUUGUUUCUUGUUAAUGGUGGAUUUCUUAUCCACUCCAGUGUAUUUCUCUUUUCUUCUAUAAAAUGUUUUGUUUCUUCUCAAAAAAAAAAUUUGUGAGUUUGUGAGUUAGAGAGCAAUUUGGGAGAAUCUUCUCCGUUAGUUUUGGGUUCUCUACUCGUUUGGUUUAGGGUUUGUAAUUUGUGGGAUUUGGGUUGUGAGAGUUUAAACACUCUUUUGUAAGCUCCAUUUGUUUAGUGAAAUUCCUCGCCGUGCUUUGCUCGUGGACGUAGACUUUACACCGAACCACGUAAAUCUCUUGUGUUAGUUUGAGAUUGUUUGUUUUAGCUUUCACCUACGACGUUGAUAUUGGUACUUUGUUAGAAUUCGCUUCCGUUUGUGCAUAAAAGUACAACAGUUUUGUGCUUUCAUUUGUCACAACGCAGUUUUUUGUUUUCAUAAAUGAAGUUUUGUGCUUUCAUUUUAUUUAUUUUAUUUUGUCUUUCAGUCAGUUUUUCGUUUGAAAGAACUCUUAAUUUUCAUGGAAAUAUAGUUAUUUGUGAAUAUGGAAACUUGAUACUGUGUAGACAUCAGAGUUCGUAUGUUUGUGAUAUGAAAUUUAAAUACAAGCUUCCCAAUUUGUUUUUGGAAUUUUAACUAAACUCGCGUUAUAGGUAGAUCAUGUAUUAAGAUAACAAAAAAGAUAGGUAGAUUUGUGUAUGCGAUGAGUUGUAGUGAACAUUUGGCAGUAAUAGAAAUGGUUUAGGUGUGCUCAGUUUUGGCCUAAAUGGUUAUCACACGAGCGUAAAUGUUUGUUUCAUUUGUGAUUGAACUUGAAUUCGUUGGAAAGCUUUUCAAUUUAUGAAUAUGGAAAGCUUUUCGUCUUUACUUUUAAACUUAUUUUCUGUUUGGUUGUUGAGAAGGUGAUGGAAAUAUAGUUAUCUGUUAAUAUGGAAACUUGAAUCUGUGUAGACUCCUUGGGUUGUCUGUUGGGUUCAGUGGAGGUUUAGUGUUUUAAUUUUGAAUGAUUUGUUUUUCGUUUCAUGGAAAUGACCUAUUAUUUGAUAUUAUUUGAUUUAACUGAGUAAUUUAAUGGAAGUAUAUUCUCUUUUUUUCUUUUCCAUAUUUCAUUUUGUCAGCAACCAAACGAGUUAAGGAACUGUAAUCUUUUUAAUUACUCUGCUAUCUCCGUGAGUUAUGAAUAUCAGACUUUUUGUUUUAUUUCUAUAUAUGUAGUUCCGAAGGAAUCAAGUGCCAAAAUUAGAAUAAAUAUCCUUUAGUCACGUUACACACUUUUCCAUAGAAUGUUUGGUUCAGGGAUCCCUUAUACAAGCACAAUAUUCUUAUGUAUUUAAAUCAUAGUUGACUGUCAUGGUUUAAUAAGUGUGAAAACUGUCUUAACUAUACCAUUGGAGCGUUACAGUUUUAGUUAUUUUAUUGGAUCCGUUUGUUAGCACUUUGAAUUCUUUUGAUUUCUUACUCUGAAUCUCACUCAUUUUUUGCAGUUUAGAUUGGACUCUCAUCAUAGCAUUGUAAUAUGAUCUUGCUGCUGCGAUUAAUCUGACAGUUCUGAGGCGUUGCAUUUGAAUCAAGACUUUGGUAUGUUAGCUGAACUUCAAUGCAUUCUUUUCCCAUUCUUUCUGUUUGAGGCAGCGCAACUUUAUGAUUUUUUUAUUGAUUGUUUGGGUUGAUCGUCUUAUGUUAUCCAUUUGCUUUGUGCUUUGUUUUUCAUUCUUGGUUGUCUCUGUGAUCGUCUCAUUGUCCAGAUGUUGGAUGGUUUUUUAUUUUAUUUUUUUAUUCUAAUUUUGUUUGAAGGUCCGUGCUAUCUCUGUGAUUCUGGUUUAACCCAGUGCUCUUAAUUCUUUAUCGGAUGUUGUUGGCCAUUUUAUCUCUUUUAUUAGUGGGAAAAGGCUUUGUUGUUGUUGUAUUCUGUUAUUGGUUGGUUGGUGUUUUCGUUUGGUUUUCUGAUAGUGAACUAUCUCAUCCUCCCCAAAGUGUUUUAACAUGUUUUGUUGAUAACUGCGCUCUCUAAACGACCUAGAUAUUUUUUUAGAAAAAUCACGACUUCCAUAUUUAAGAAAAUGAGUGGCUUUUUAGCAAAUGCAUGAAUGCAGCUAGAUGUUCAGAAAAAUUCACGGAUAUUUACAUUCAAACCACAAGUAUCAUUAACUUAUAAAUAAUUAAGUUAUGUAUUUUCUUUAUCGGCCAUCACUUCAAAAUUUGAAUUAAAACACUGUCAAAAUGCUUUUUGAUUGUGUUUUCUUUAUUCAUUAUGUAAGUUUGGCAAAUCUUCUACAUGCUGCAUAUUUUUUUGUUUGAACAUCUAUGGUUGACGAGUUACCUGCUCAAACACCACUUUUUCUGUGUUUUGCUAACUGCUAAGUGAGGCAUGUAGGUUGCAGAGCAUAUAUUUGGCCGUCUUAACUAUGUGUAAACUGCAGCUUCCUUCUGUUUCUUCAGUUUCAUAUGGAAACAGGCCUUCUGUUUUUUUGGCCUUUGAACAAUUGUGGUUCCAAAAUUAGCUACUUGAACAAGUCCUCAACACUUUCUGUUUUACAUUACCUGUUGAACUAGCUGCCUACACUGCAGGACACAUGUUAUUUGUGAACUAAAUGUUUCUUCUGUUUCUUAAGUAAACAGAAAUUUUUUGGAAACCAUCUCUUUCUAAUCAAACACGUACAAUUUCUUCCCACUCAUUGUGCAUUGUGUUUAUAUGCCAACUCACUUAAAUAUGUAUAAAAGCAAAAUUGCUUAUCUUACCGGCCUCAUUCACUCAUGUAUCCCUCUGUUUGUUUGUAAUUGUGUUGAAUUUAUUCAACUUAAAUGUGUUUUAUCCAUCUGAUUAUGUCUGAAACAGUGGUUCCCGCAGCAACGCGCGGGCGUAUUUUCUAGUUUUUAACUAAAUUUUGCAAACUAAAUGACAUGAUUGUUGAUGAGUGGAUUAUUAUUUUAGUGUUGAUAAACAUGCUUAUUUUCUAAGGAAAACUAAUGAAAAGGGCUUGAAAACUUUGCGUUUUAACAAUAAGGACAAAAUAAAGGGUAAAGUGAAUAGUAUCAUGAUUGACUUUUUAGUGUAAAAAUAUGGUUUUUCGUUAAAGUGAACAGUACCAGGAGCUUUUCAUUAACGUUCCCUAUUAUCUAGUGGUGACACAUCAUUUAGUUUAAAAUUUUAUUCUCCUUGGCAUUACCCAUUUGUAUAUGAUUGCGGAAUCAAUAAUUAGUUCUCACCAUUUGAAUUUGUGCAGUUGUGACAACAGAUCAAGCUUCCAAAUUUCCAAGGAACUAGUCUUUGACUGUUGAUCUUCCCUUCAUUGAGUCUGUAUUUGUUGAUCACAAGCGGAGUCAGAUUUGAACUUCCAUGUAAGUUCUUAUUAUUCAACUGAAUAAUACAUUAGUUGUUUCUCAUUUUAUUUGAACUACUUUUUAUUCAUUUGUUUCUUCACUUAAUUUGUGCAGCUCUGCACCUCAAUAUUGCUCAAGAGCGGUUCAGUCUUUCUUUGAUUGCUUGGAGUAAUCCUCGCUCUUAAUAUGGUACUGGGAGAGGUUUUUCUUGGGGCGUUUCUACAGGUGCUGCUAGACAGGUUGACCCCUCGCGAGGUUCUCAACUACUUUGGAAACUUCCGGGGCCUUAGAAAGAAGCUGGAGAAGUGGAGGGCCACGUUAUCUACAAUCGCAGCGGUGUUGAGCGACGCUGAGGAAAGACAAGUGACUGACCAUCCUGUAAAACUGUUGCUUGAUGAUCUCAGAGACCUCGCUUAUGAUGUCGAAGACAUGUUGGACGAAUUUUCCACUCAAAUGUUGAAGCGCACAAUAGAGGGACGUGAUCAAGCUAGCACGAGCAACAAGGUGCGGAACUCAUUUUUCAAAAUUAAAUUCAAUUGGGAUAUGAGCUCCGAAAUGAAGAAGAUUACGGAGCGGUUGCAAGACAUAUCUGAACGGAAAGAUAAGUUUGGCUUGAAAGAUACUGGGACGUCUGCUAAGGAAUCGCGACGUCUACCUAGUUCAGACGUGUUAGAUGAAAAGCUUGUUGUUGGAAGAGAUGGUGACAAAGGGAAGAUUAUUGAAUUGUUGUCAAGAAAAUACGAGCAUGCAGGUGCUGUCAAUUUUGAUGUAGUUGCUAUAGUUGGCAUGGCCGGAGUUGGGAAGACGACACUUGCUCAACUUGUAUUCAACAACAAAGAUGAUGCCAUGAAGGAGUUUGAGCUCAAGGUCUGGGUAUCUGUGUCCGAUGACUUCGAUGUGGUGCGAGUGACAAAGGCAAUUCUUGAAUCAAUCACAUCCCGACCCGUUAAAGUGCAGGAGUUUAGUAAAAUGCAGCAUAAUUUGAGUGAGCAAUUAAGAGGAAAAAAGUUUUUAAUCGUUUUAGAUGAUAUUUGGAACAAAGGCGACUAUGAUCUAUACGAUCUCUGGACAAGACUUCAAUCCCCUUUUGGCGUCGGAGCAGGAGGAAGUAAGAUAAUUGUGACAACCCGUGACAGGAAUGUUGCAAAGACUACGGGAGCCGCUGGAGUUCAUAAUUUGGAGUGUAUGGCAGAUGGUGAUUGUUUGGAAAUAUUUGAGCGACAUGCGUUCGGGGAAAUUAAUAAUGGAAAGCCGGUAAAUUAUGAUUUAAUUGGGACAAAAAUUGUUGAAACAUGUCAUGGAUUACCAUUAGCUGCGAGGACUCUCGGUGGUCUUCUACGUUGCAAAGAAAAAGAUGAGUGGGGAGAAAUAUUGAACAACAAGUUAUGGAAUCCAGCAGAUAAGAGUGGCAUUCUCCCCGUACUAAAGUUGAGCUAUCACUAUCUUCCAUCACAUUUGAAGAGGUGUUUUGCCUAUUGCUCCAUUCUUCCAAAUGACUAUGAAUUUGGGGAGAAACAGCUCGUCCUUUUGUGGAUGGCAGAGGGUUUGAUUCAACAAAAACCUGACGACAAUAAACAAAUGGAGGAUUUGGGCCGCGACUACUUUCGAGAGCUAUUAGCAAGGUCGCUGCUUCAAGGAUCAAGCAAAAACAAUUCACGAUAUGUAAUGCAUGACCUCGUUAAUGAUUUAGCACAAUGGGCAGCAGGAGAAAUAUGUUUUAGGUUGGAAGAUAAGCAAGGUGAUAACUUGCAAAGCACUUGCUUUCAAAGGGCUCGCUAUUCGUCUUUCAUUGCUGGUGAUUUUGAUGGAGUUAUGAGAUUUGAGGCCUUUCCAAAACUUGAACGCUUGCGAACAUUCCUGCCACUUUCGCUUUCAGAUUCCAGGUGGUGGUGGAAAUAUUUGUCUCGUAAGGUUAUUUUCGAGUUAUUACCACAGAUGAAAUACUUACGAGUGCUCUCUUUCAAUGGCUAUAAAAUAACUGAGCUGCCAAAGUCAAUCGGUGAUCUGAGGUUGUUACAGUAUCUUGACCUUUCCUACACAGAUAUAACCUGUUUGCCUAAAUCAACAAGCACUCUUUACAACUUGCAAACAUUGAUAUUGGAGGGUUGUUCUAAAUUGAAGUCAUUGCCCACAAACAUGAGUAAUCUAAUUAAUUUGCGCCAUCUCAACAACUCAGGUGCAUCUUCAUUGGUAGGAAUGCCUUCACAACUAGGUCGAUUGACGAAUCUACAAUCAUUGCCUCUUUUUGUGGUGAGCAAAGGUAGUGAUCAACCAGGGGUAAGAGAGAUAGGGCCCCUAUUGCAUCUCCGAGGGACACUGUGCCUCUCAAGAUUGGAGAAUGUGACUGAUGUCGAGGAUGCCAGGAGGGCCAACUUGAUAUGCAAGGAGAGGCUUGAUUCGUUGGUCCUAAAAUGGUCUCAUUCAAGCGACACGAGAAAAACAGAAACCGUUGUGCUUGACAUGUUACAGCCUCAUACAAAGCUCAAGGAGUUCACUCUCAAGAGUUAUGCCGGAAAGGAAUUUUCAUCAUGGGUUGGAGGUUCUUUCUUCUCUAAUAUGGUGCUUGUGCGCUUAGAGGAAUGUAACAAUUGUUUAUCGUUGCCACCUCUCGGACAAUUGCCUCGUCUCAAAGAGCUUUAUAUUAGAGAAAUGAAUGCAGUCGAAAGUGUUGGUGCUGAGUUUUAUGGUGAGUGUGUCUUGCCCUUUCCGCUGUUAGAGAUUCUGGAGUUUGUGGAUAUGCGGCAUUGGAAGGUGUGGCUUCCUUUCCAACUGGAUCAAGGAAGUAGUGUUUUCCCUUGCCUGAAAAGGCUUUCAAUCAAAGGAUGUUCUAAGUUGGAAGGCAAGCUGCCAGAGAAGCUCGAUUUGUUAGCCGAACUUGAAAUUGUUAAAUGUGAGGAAUUGGUGGUUUCGAUUGCCAAUUGCAAACAACUUCGUCAAAUAAACAUUGACAGUUGUAAAGUGUUGGUACAUACAGAUGCUAAGGUUGAGUUUGAGUUGUUAGAGUCCUUGUGCCUUUCAAACAUUUCGGAGGUGAUGUCUCUGCAAACAGGGGAAUUGUUCAGGAAGGGAUUAAGCAAGGCUAGAGAUUUGAAGAUUAAUGGAUGUGAGAAGCUGACGUCGUCAUUGAAGAAUGAGGGUAGAUUAUUGCAGCAGUUGACUUGUCUUGGCCGUUUGGAAAUUGAAGACAACUCUCCUCUAGUUGAAGAAUUGGGAGAAGAAGCAGAGGAGUUGCUGCAAUUGCAAAUAUUGGAGUUAAAAAAGUGCGAAAAUCUUUUGAAGCUACCAAAAGGAUUAAAUGAGCUGUCGUCUCUUCAAGAGCUUCGCAUACACAAAUGUUCACGUCUAGUUUCUUUUCCAGAAGUUGGUCUGCCACCGUCUCUUAAAAACAUCGAGAUUAGAGAGUGCCAUUCGUUGAUAUAUUUUGCAAAAUUCCAGAUUCCCCAAUUUCUCAGAAGAAUAGAGAUAAGUAAUUGCAGAAGUUUGAAAUCACUAGUAGAACCGAACGGGUUAUUCAGCGACAACACCAAUCACUGCCUUGAAUAUAUUAGGAUCUGGAAUUGCCAAAAUCUGGAAUCCUUACCGGAUGGCUUAUGCCACCUUAGCAAUCUUCAAACUCUAAUUAUUGGGAACUGUGGAAGUCUUGUUUCCAUCCCGAGACUGAGUGCGGAGAGAAGACCCUCCAACCUGAGAGAUAUCAUGAUCAACGAAUGCGAGAAAUUGGAGGCGUUUCCCGAAGACAUGCACAAUCUCAACUCUCUUGAGGGAUUGAAGAUCGACUACCGUAAAGGUUUGACUUUUCCUCCCAACCUAACAUCACUUGAAAUUUGGAAGGUCAAGAGCUGUAAGUCAUUGUGGGAGUUGGAGUGGGGGUUGCACAGACUCACCUCUCUUAGAAAGUUGGGGAUCAGUGGAAAAAACACACGUACGGUGUCGUUUCCACCUGACAUAGUCCGGAUGGAGCCGCUCCUCCCCAAAUCUCUCACUGAACUCAGAAUAGAAGGCUUCCCGAAUCUGAAGAGACUGAGCAGCAAGGGCUUUCAAUUCCUCAACUCCCUUCAAUCUCUGCAACUCUCUAGAUGUCCAAAGCUAGCAUUCAUUCCAGAGGAGGGUCUGCCUCCUUCACUUGGUCAGCUUAUCAUCUAUAAGUGUCCUGUGCUAAAAGUGAGAUGCCAACCAGGAAAAGGACUCUACUGGCACAAAAUAUCCAACAUCCCUAAAAUAGAGAUACAUGAAGCUAAUGGUCCAGGUAUCAUCUCUCGAGGAAUGUUUUAAUAUUAAUAUUAUUAUUAUUAUUAUUAUUAUUAAUCAUGUUUAUUCUUGUAAAGUAAUCCACAAUAUUUGGUUUGGGUCAAGGUUUUGGGGGUUGAGGAGUGGCUGCUUUAGGAGGCCUUCAAUUGGCGACAACCUGGAUACUUCUCGGCCAACGUUUCUUCUCCCGGAUUCCUAUGUUUGCUGAUAGCACUACCCUUUCAAAUUUUAUUAGGUCGAGCUUUUUUCAAUUUUCAAAUUUAAACAUUUUUUUGGGUCAACAGUCCAAUAAUUCGAACUUGUUUUAUCUUUCAUUAAGAUAAUUCUACCAAAAACCUGACCUCAUUUUGUAUCAAGCUUGAGCUUUUAUGAAAUCAUUUGAGUCAAACUUGAGCACAUAUUUACGAGCUUUAUUUGGGACUGACCGAAUUUGAAUCUUGAGCAAUGUUUGUUAAACCAAGGUCAUUUAAUUACGAUCUGAGUUAUUAAUAAGUUGUGUUGUUUUGUGUUGGGUUAGUGGGUCUUGCAAGACAUUGCUUGAUGUUUAAAUUUGACAAACAAUAUUUUAUCAAGUUCUUGAUUCUACAAGUAUCCAACUCGUUAAAAGGUUCUUAAUGAGCAGCUUGAUAACGAAUCGACUUGUUAACAUAUUAACUCGAAACCUGCUAUUUUUAUGUUGUUUUAUAUCGAAUUAACGGGUCGUGUAAAAAAUUAUCAAACCUAACCGGAUCAUGCCAAACUAUUGAUGGUCAAUGACUUAUUUGAAAGUGAUUUUAAAGUGACUGAAAUUGAUUUCAGAUUCCAAAAACACUUUUUAAGUGCUUUUUGGAAUAAUCUUGGGCGUCUCCACCCAUUGCCAAUUGGUUUCGGGUUGGAUGCUCAAUUUGUAAUUAGAAUAACAGGUAUUGUUGUUUUUUUUUAUUAUCUUUCAUUGUUUGAGUGGGGGAUAUAAUCUUUAUACAAAUUGCUUCCUCAUGGUUUUUAUGACUGGUUUCUGUAUCUACUUUUAAUGCUUAGUACAUUAAGGGCAUCGGGUACUUCCUAAGUUCUCAUGGUCAAGUGUUUGUAUGGUUCUGUAUGUAUGUUUGUGAUCUUCAUCCCGACUUUGAAUGCGUAAACUAGAUGGAUGAAGAGGUUUUGUUGUUAUUGCCUUGCCCAACACAAGGAUUUCUUUAAGGGCUAAAUAGAUUUCUUUUAACUGGGUUCUUAUGUCUUCGACGAAGGUUAGAGUUCUUUAUCCUUUUUGGUAUUUCAGUCAAUUGGUGUAUCUUUCGACAUCUGUGCUAAGUGCUUCGUGAAAAUUGAUAUAUGUUGUCUAAAUGGUUGUGUUUCAGUUGCCUUUUCUGAGCUUCUUCCUUCCUGUCUGAUAUCUAUUUUCUAUCCUUCGUCAUAGGAUAUUAGCUCCAUGGUGUGCUGGUUGCUUUAUGUUUGUAUAUUCUCGUGUUUUUUCAUUACAGUGUUGAACUCAGUGAAAUGCUAGUAUGAAUUGGAGUGGUUCCCAUUGUCUUUGAGUGAUUCCUAUCACAACAAUCAGGGAGGAAAUCCCUCUCUUUUUUUCACUCUAGGACUAUCCAAAAGAUGCAGCACUGAAGAAGAGUUAGGACUUUAACUCAGUGUCGCAAAAACCUACUACCAAGAGAAAGUUUGUAAGCACUUAUGUUCCGACUCAGAUCCUUACCAAAGUUUUUUUGAAAGUUGAAAUGAUAUAGCACUAGGCCCAAGGUUGAGAGCAGGUUAGAAUUGUUAGAUUGGUGUUUGGCAUGUAAAGACUAGUGGUAUGAUAUUGGGGUACGUUUUUAGGUAUAUGGGGCCAGUACCUGUAAGCUUGAAGACAACCUAAAUAUGCCCGGGAUGUAACAGAGUGCUUGCCUAUACUUCUGUUUUUGUAGUUAAGAGAACGUAAUUGCUUAGCAAUCAUUAAAUUUGUAUACUUAUUACUUGGGUGCCCUCUGCCUUGCUAUGCUGCAUAACAAUGAGAAUAUAUUACGGAAUUCUAACAGGAAAAAGGCAGGGGACUCCCAAAAUUUGGUGAAUGGGACGUCAAUGAUCCUGCUUCGGCUGAGGGGUUUACUGUGAUCUUUAACAAGGCUAGGGAUGAGAAGAAGACAGGUGGAAAACCCGAGUCACCAGGAAAGGUUGAUCCUAAUAUCAGGCAUGGAGGAGGAGUGGAUCCUGGCACUAGCAGGCCUUCGUCUGUAAGAUUUUUUCUCAUAACUGUUGUCGUUUCUUUCUCUAAUGAUUUGAUAUAUACAUGGGUCAGCCAAUAGAAAUACAUUCUUUGCGGUUUUCUUAGUUGCAAGUUAUUGCUUUUCAAGUGACGUUGGUAGUACAAAAUACAACUAUAUGUAACACUGACUUAUCGAUCAAACUCAGCAUACCAUUUGAUGUGAAAAUCAAUGCAACUGACUUAUAUAGAACUCUAGUAAGGAAAUGUGGCAAAAGACAUAUCUAAUGUUAGGGCCAAGAUAUUUGAAAAAUAAAAGAGCACAAGAUGAUUCGGCUGUUUUAUCUGGAUUAUUCCAUGCAAGUGGAAUUGGCAUACAUUAACUCGGGUUCUGUCUCCUUUUAGACAGAUGUAGCCUAAUAGGAAUAUUUGUUUGUUUUAUUGUGAAUAAUUGAAAGAACCAAUGGCCCUGGAAAUAUUUGCUUUUGUCAAUUGAUCAUUGUGUGACCUUUUCGUUUUUUCUAUGCGUUUUCUGUACCUGCUGCGUUUCCAAUAGUAGACUAAUAGAAUGAAUAACUGGAGGUGAUUAUUUCUGCUGCCAAAAUCUAAUAUGCUUAAAUUCCUCACUCUUUGCGGAUGAUUUGAUUUGGUUUGAUUUCCUGAUGCACAGAAAAAAUGGUUUUGCUGCAUUCAUCAACCACCGGCAGAGUUUUGACAAUGUUGUUCUCCUAAGUGCUUCGAUGGAGGAGCACGAUGUUCUGUAACUGGCUCCACUAUAUUUCCUCACUUAAUCUAUGUCUAUGAAAUUGGCAGCUAGGGAAGUGAAGUUUGAAGCAAUGGUUAGCAGUUUGCCUAAGGAAAUCGUACAUGAUAUCCUUUUGAGACUACCUCCUAAAGCUUUGAUCAGAUGCACCUCGGUGUCCAAGCCUUGGAACUCCAUGAUAAAAAGUCCAAGCUUUAUUCGCACCCACCUCAGCCUUACCAUCGAUUUUAACCAGUUUGGCACCCACCAACUCCUUCUGCAUUGUGUUCGUGGAGACAAUCCAGUGGAGCAGAAUUACUAUUUGCAUUAUGAUAACCAUGCUUUUGAUGAGUACUGCAAGCUAGAGUAUCCAAGUGUUCCCAAGCGCAAUAGAUUUCUUCGUGUGGUCGGAAUGCGAGGAUCCGAAUGCUUUUUAUGAGGCUUAUUCACUUGCUAGAGGCUUGUGGAGUAGUCCUCGUUCUUUUGAUCCCGUUUGUAAAGUUUUAUUCUUGCAAAUUUCAGGCUUUUGUGAACGGGGCAGUUCAUUGGCUGGCAUGGCGCUGCUUGAACGAUGGUCGUUAUCAAAAUUUCAUUUUAGCAAUUGAUGUGGACGGUGAGUUAUUUUGCGAGAUAAGGGUGCUAAAGAGUUUCAGACAGGAUGAACCAUUAGAUUAUCACUUGUCUGUUUCAGGUGAUGGAAACUCCAUUGCUAUGUUCACGACGACGCGUGGUCGUAAUUGUCCUGAGGAUUUUCUUGACAUAUGGGUGAUGAAAGAGUAUGGCAUCGAGGAUUCAUGGGCCAAACUGAUAACUCUCCACCGUAUCCGGAAACAAGGGUGCCCUACAAGCCCUUAUGUUUUAGGAACAGUGGUGAAGUGGUGUCCUGACUUUAUCACUUGUUCUAGAAAAAAACGUCGCAUGUACUGGGAUUUUCUCCGGGAUGCCUUGUGAUAUUCUGACAUUGCUGGAUUCUUGUUAGAGAUGAACAUUUUUCCUUCUGUUUGUCUGUUAAUUUACAGACCUAGAAGAAGUUGCUUAUCACAUGUUGCCAAUGUUCAUGGAUAUAUACAGUUAUAUUAAUUUCCUUGAAAUUUCUUGUGACAUUUUUUUAGCUCUAAUAAGAUUUAUCUCUCGUCACAAGACUUUUACAAUAACUUGUGCUCCUAUGGUCUACCAAAAUAAUAAUAUUGCAGUAGAGACUAGUAGUCUAUUAUUAAUUGUGUGUUCAACUUAAAGCAGCGAGAAAAAUGUGUACCUUUUUCUUUUCUUUUUUUUCAAAGAAUUUUUUAUCUUUUUCCUCUGGGAGGAGGAUUGUCUGCCCUCCUAGUUUCAGUGCCCUUCCAUGCCAUCUUGAUUGUGUGGUCAUGGUUAAGCCACGUUAAUAUUUUAUAUUACUAUUUAUUUUUGUCUUAUUAUAUCUAUAAAAAAACAAUAUAAAAUAAUGAUGUGGCUUAACCGUGACCACACAAAACAGGAGGGCAUGGAAGAGCAUUGAAACUAGGAGGGCAGACAAUCCUCCUCCCUUCCUCUGACCCUUGCAUGCAGGUUUGGCAGUAAAGUAAGAGUUUCCACGCAAUUAAAAUAAUGGCAAACUAGUCUUUCGGUUUUGCACGAAGAUAGGAUAAUUUAUACUAAAUUAUUUUUUUGUCUUUUAUUAAAGAAUCAUUUAAAAAAAAAAGUUUUUAAGUGUUUGGGAUCUUUUAAAUACCAAUUUCAAUACAGCUAUUAGUUCAAGUAACAUAAUUUUUAGUUUAGGUACCAAUGAAAAAAUCAACUAAAAUAAUUCUAUAAAUACUAUUAUAAUUCAAAAUAAUUAUAUGAUUGCCGUGUUUUCCGACCAGCCAACUGUAUUCGCAACCACCUCACCCUUACAAUCAAUCUUAAUAACCAGGUUUCGACUAACCUCCUUGUACUGCAUUGUAAACGCAUACAUGAGCCAAGGGAGGAGCAUUACUAUUUUUGCAUUAUGAUAAAUAACCAUGAUUUUGAUGGGUAAUGUAGACUAGAAUUUCCAAUCAUUCCGAAGGGAGAAUGGUUCAAUAUGACCUAUAGACUACAAGAACUCAAAUUCCUUAUUUGUUAUCUUCUGUAAACCAUUCAUCAGAGCUCUUGACAGGCAGUGACCAUAUUUGAGGAAUGACUAGACGCAUGUUGGGGCGCCAUCAUGACUUCAUGGGUGAACAAUAGAAUUUCGUGUGUAAGUUUCUCUCCACAUACAUCGUGUUAACUUUGUUUUUCUAGUUUCCUAGCAUGUUCCAGUUCGUGCAUUUUCAGUUUUUGGAUAGUGGAAAGGUCAAGUUGGUAGCAAAUUGACACGGCGAAGACGUAAGUCUAAAAUUCAUUGUCACUAAUUCAAUUUACCAAGCUUAAUUGGCCUCUCUUAACCUACAAAAUUGUCAUAAUAAACUAGUAAUUUCACUUCAUGAAAAUCUUGCUCAAUGUUGUUUGACUUGUUUCCCUUCCUAAACAUCGAGAUGUUCGUUAAUUAUAUGCUAAUAAGUUCAUCUUCAAAUGGAUCAUAAAUUAAUAUAGCUAUGUGACUAAUUAAGUAGUAUAACUCCAAAAUGGUAAAGCAUAAUCCAUGAUAAUUUUGGUAAAUCUGGUGUCGGCAGGAUCAUGUUCAUCUUCUUCGUGUUGUGUGGCUCAGGUUGUUUAAGAGUUUUUUACUAUUUUAAAUUGAUUCUCUAUAUUAUCUACAAUGGCCUACAAAAAACUGAACCAAACACCCCCACAAAGGAAAGGGGUCCUUUUCAGAUCCUUUCGACCUAAUUAUCUUCAUCAAAUAAUCCGUGUUCUUAAAAUUUGAUUCAACAACUAAAAACACGGAUCUAUUUUAAAAAUUAUAAUAACUUUAGUUGUUGAAUCAGAUUUCAAGAACCUUAAUAAAGAAGAUUAGGUAAAAGGAAUCAAGAAAUGAUCCCUUUCGAUCACAAAAUAAUAUAAUCGGUGUUGAAAGGAAUGUAGCUCAGUUGUUUACCAGCAGUCACUCAUAACGUUUGGUUCCCCCCCAAAAUCGGUGUUGAAAUGAUCCCUUUCUCUCACACUCUUUUUUUUUUACUUCUCACAUACCUCUUGUUAACUUCUGUCAUUUGAUCUACUUCCAUUUAUCCGAUCCAACGGUCAAAAAUUAAAAGGGUGUGUGAGAGGUAAAAAUUGGUGUAUAGAUAUCACACCCUUUUACUAAAUCCUAAAUUGUACAACUCCUUCAAAUAUAUCAAGGACGAAUAUGGUAUCUUCUACAAACCAUCCAGUAGAGCUCUCAGCAUGCAAUGACCAUAUUUAGGGAAUGGACUAGACACAUGUUGGGGCAUUAUCAUGACAUCAUGGGUUAACAAUACAAUUUGUGUUUAGUCUCUCUUCACAUACAUUACGUUAACUUAGUUUUUCUACUUUCUUAGCAUGUUCGGGUUCGUGCAUUUUCACCUUUUGGGUAGUGGAAAGGUCAAGUUGUUGGGAGACUUAUUAGUAAAAAGCAAAUUCACACGGCAAGACAUAAAUCUAAAAUUACUUGUCACUAAUUCAAUUCCACUGAAUUUAAUUCUUCUCUCUUAAUCUUCAAAAUUAACAUAAUAAGCUAGUAAAUUUCACUUCAUGAAAAUCUUGCUCAAUGUUGUUUGACUUGUUUCCUUUCUUUAACAGCUAGAUGUCCAUUAAUUAUAUGCUAAUAAAACUUGCUCUUCAUCUUCAAUUGAUCUAAUAUAGCUUUGUGACUAAUUAAGUAGUAUAACUACAAGAUGGUAAACAAUAAUCCAUGGUAACUUUUUGCAGGAUUAUUUUCUACUUCUUUGUGUUGUGUGGCUCAGGCUGUUUGAGAGUCUCAACAUUAUCUACCAUGGCCUAUAAAAUUGAACCAAUCACCAUCUCAAAAUAAAAUAAUCGGUAUUGCAAGGAAAUGCAACUCGGUUGUUUACGAGCAAUCACUCUUCCACCCUGAGUUGCGUGUUUGGUUCCUCAUCUCCCAAAAUCGUUCGUAUAAAGGAAAAGAAAAGUAUAACCGUGUGGGACAUAGGAGAUAAGAAAGCAAUUAAAAAGAUAAAACAGCAUGAUCAUGACCCCACAAAAAAAUAAAGAGAAAGUAAAAAGAGGAAGACUUGCUGUGGUCUUUCAACACCUAAUCCUCAUUGCAAAUUGAAGAGCUCUAAAGUGGUCUGGAUCUGUUGAUUUUCAUAAUCUAUGGAAAACAAGUCCCUUCAUCUUCAUCAUCAUCUGAAAACUUGAACGCAGUAAGUUCCUCUUGCAACUAUAUAUGCGGAAUCCAUUAUUUAUAAAUUAAUUAUUUCAUUUUUCUUCAAGAUUGUAUGCUUAAUUAAUUAUUUCAUCGAUAACCAGCUAUAUAAUUUGUUCAGUUUUCAGCCUUAAUUAUUCCAUCAUUCAGUUUGGAUUUAUUGAUCAUCAGUGCAAACAAGCGCCCUCAUGACCUGACAGACUUCCAUGAAACUGCUUCUUGCUACAGAUCUUGUCCAAUAUCCGUGCAGAUUUCGAGUCUUGAAACGUAGGAUUGCAAGGUAAUCCCAAAACUGCCCCAUUUUAUUUGUUCAACAUGUUAAAAUUUAAGAAAAAUGAUGCAUUGCUUACUAGCAUGAUUUUUUCAAUCUUGAGUUUUUAUGGUGUGUUUUAUUGUGCCUUAUCAUUGAGUAAUAUUAUGGUGUACGUGUUUUUCUUUUGACAAACGAUAACGUUAGUAGGUUAAAUUGUUAGUCCCGUACUGGAACACCAACCAGGUUACCCAAAAAAUGAUUCACACACCCAUCUUUAUUCUAUAACUUAAUUCCAUGCUUGUCCCUCGAUACUCGUGAGCGAAAGGGAGGGUCCAAGCGGAUAUGAAAAUGAUCUAUUACUCCAAAGUCUACUUCAUAUGGCCAAUUAUUAGGUGUGUGAUCCUCAUCAUCAACUAUACUUUUUAUAAGGAAUAUCAUUCAUAACCCAGCUAUAAGCAUGCCGAUAUCGUUGAAAGCAUUAAAACAAUGAAAAAUAUGAAGUCUUACCCAGUGGCAGAUCGAAGAUUUUAAUAUCGGUGGUCCUAAUAUAAAGGCCCUAAAAAAUAUUAAGCGAAAAAUAAUAUUGAAAAUUAAAUGCUAGACUACAAUUUUUCAUUCAUAAUUUUUGUACAAACAACAUUACAAGCUACAAAGUACAAAGACUUAUUUGUCAACGAUGAGGUAUGCGUAAUAUCGUUCCAUACUUCUAAUUUCUACACAUAUCAAUUACUCAAAACAAAAAAAAAACAUAUUAAUUGAUGAAGCUAAAAGAAAAAAAAUACCUAUAACUAUUAUGAAUUUAACAUUCUACAACAACAACAACAACAACAACAAAGCCUUUUCCCACUAAGUGGGGUCGGCUAUAUGAAUCCUAGAACGCCAUUGCGCUCGGUUUUGUGUCAUGUCCUCCGUUAGAUCCAAGUACUCUAAGUCUUUUCUUAGAGUCUCUUCCAAAGUUGUCCUAGGUCUUCCUCUACCCCUUCGGCCCUGAACCUCUGUCCCGUAGUCACAUCUUCGAACCGGAGCGUCAGUCGGCCUUCUUUGCACAUGUUCAAAAUCACCGGAGCCGAUUUUCUCUCAUCUUUCCUACAAUUUCGGCUACUCCUACUUUACCUCGGAUAUCCUCAUUCCCAAUCUUAUCCUUUCUCGUGUGCCCACACAUCCCACGAAGCAUCCUCAUCUCCGCUACACCCAUUUUGUGUACGUGUUGAUGCUUCACCACCCAACAUUCUAUGCCAUACAACAUCGCUAGCCUUAUUGCCGUCCUAUAAAAUUUUCCCUUGAGCUUCAGUGGCCUACGACGGUCACACAACACGCCGGAUGCACUCUUUCCAUCCAGCUCGUAUUCUAUGGUUGAGAUCUCCAUCUAAUUCUCCGUUCUCUUGCAAGAUAGAUCCUAGGUAGCGAAAAACGAUCGCUUUUUGUGAUCUUCGCUAGAUUGCUCCGGUCAUUAGUGUGGAUAAGUAUAUAAAUGGAUAGAGAUAGGAAAGCAAACACAAGAUGUACGUGGUUCACCCAGAUUGGCUACGUCCACGGAAUAGAAGAGUUCUCAUUAAUUGUGAAGGGUUUACACAAGUACAUAGGUUCAAGCUCUCAUUUAGUGAGUACAAGUGAAUGAUUUAGUACAAAUGACAUUAGGAAAUAUUGUGGGAGAAUGAUCUCGUAAUCACGAAACUUCUAAGUAUCGGAGUGUGGUGUCGUCUUGACUUGCCUUAUCUAUCUCAUAGGUAGAUGUGGCAUCUUCUCUGGAAGUACUCUUCCUCCAUCCAGGGGUGGUAUCUUUAACUGGUGGAGAUGCACAAGGUAAUGUAUCAAUUUCACUUGAAGCUUACUUGUAGUUUCAGGCUUGGUCAAGCGCGAUACAAACCAUGUAGUAGGAGUCCCCCAAGUCGCCGAGCUAGGGGGUCUGCUGAAAGAGGUGACAGACAAGGUAAGCAAUCAGAGCUCCGACUGAUUGUUCACCUUCUCCCCAUCUUGCAGCAGCAUGAAGGAUAAAGAGAAGAAAAAUGAGAAGAGAUGAUAUGAGAUACUUUUGCUUUUGAAGAAGUAACUUUCCACAGGCUUAUUCUUGAACUGAGCUGGAGGGUUUUCUGGUUUCCUCCAGAGUAUAAGGCCGACUGAAGAAUUUGAGGGUCAAAACAAGUCCAUCAAAUCUAGAGUACGUUCCACCCUGCUGAUAUGGGAUACUUUUGCUUUUGACAGAGUAAUGAAUGUAUCGACCCGUGUGCUGUUACGCUUGUCUCCACAUGCUUCCUUGUAUCCUUCGCACUUGCCCUAUCUGUUCCUCAAGCAGAUGCGGAAUCUUCCCUGGAAACAUAAGAUGUUGAAGAUGAGUACUCGAGAGCAAUGCCAGGUAAGUAAUCAGGUAAGGGGUUCCAGGCAGUCAGUUCCUGGCUGGAAGCUUGAUUCCAAGUGCUGACUGAUUGCUCUCUUUCUCCUUGUCUUGCAGGUAAAAAACAAGGCCAAAAGAAAAGACAGGGAAAAAGCAUGAUAUGGGAUACUCUUGCUUUUAACCCUGAUGAUAUGAGAUAUUCUUGCUCUAGUAUAGCUUGUUUGCAGAGGUAUUAUCGGGGGGAAAGAAAGCUGAAAUAUUUCGAAAGGCUUCGUUGGGAGUGCCCUCUCAAAUAUGAUGAAGGGUUGAGCAUUUUUGCAGGUCUGCCUGUCCGUUGGGGAUGGAGGUCGACAUAUAUAGGAGUCUCCCUAACAACAAGUAGUAAUGCUAUUCCUUUACCCUGCUUGGUCAUAGCACGGUAGUGGGAGCUGCCAGUUUCACAUGUUUUAACUCUGUCAGAGCACUUUGAAAAAGUGGUCUGUGGUAUCUGGCUCUCGAGAUUUGGAGAACGAUGCCUCUUCGAUUUUUGAGAAAGCAAUCAUGCUGGGGGUAUGACUCUCGAGAUUCGGAGAGCAGUGUCUCUUCGAUUUUUGAGGAAGUAAUCAUGUUGGGAGUCUGGCUCUCGAGAUUCGGAGGGCGGUGCCUCUUCGAUUUUGGAGCAAACAAUCUUGUUGGGAGUGUUGUCUCGAAUGUGAGUAAAGGUUGGGCAUGUUUGCUAGUCUACCUUGCCACGAAGCACAAAGGUUGACACACAGGGACUUUCCAAUUAUCCAGCAAUGGUACUGUUCCUUUACCUCUCUCUUCGAUUUUGAGAAAGUAGUCAUGUUGGGAGUCUGGCUCUCGAGAUUCGGAGGAUGGUGCCUCUUCGAUUUUGGAGCAAGCAAUCUUAUUGGGAGUGUUUUUCUCGAAUGUGAGUAAAGGUUGGGCAUGUUUGCUAGUCUACCUUGCCACGAAGCACAGAGGUUGACACACAGGGACUUUCCAAUUAUCCAGCAGUGGUACUGUUCCUUUACAGUUGUGGGUAAUAAUAUGGUAGCUAGACCUUCAAAAUUUAUGUGUCUAAACUUUUGUUAGUGCUGUUUCUUUGCUAUUCUUUUACCUUUCUUGGUCAGAGCGAUGUAGUGGGAGCUGCAAGCUUCACGUGCUCAACUUUGGCAGAGAACUUUGGCAAAGUUAUUUGUGGUACCCAUGAGCUAUUGUUGCGUGUGGGAAGUGGGUGUGAUUGAACAGUAAGAUUCAUGUGCUUUCUACUUCACCAGAAGUCUUCGACAGAAUGCCCAUAAUUUCUGCAAAGCUGAGUGUGCGUGUGACAGGUGCUGACAAGGCUAGAAAAGUAGGUGCCUCUUCGAUUUCUGAGAUCGGCCCUCGUGGUCUCUGAGCAGCCCAGCUUUUGAGAAAGCGAGCGCCUCUUCGAUUGAUUCGGAGAACGAUGCCUCAUCGAUUUUUGAGAAAGCAAUCAUGCUGGGGGUCUGGCUCUCGAGAUUCGGGGAGCAGUGUCUCUUCGAUUUUUGAGAAAGUAAUCAUGUUGGGAGUCUGGCUCUCGAGAUUCGGAGGGCGGUGCCUCUUCGAUUUUGGAGCAAGCAAUCUUGUUGGGAGUGUUUUCUCGAAUGUGAGUAAAGGUUGGGCAUGUUUGCUAGUCUACCUUGCCACGAAGCACAGAGGUUGACACACAGGGAGUUUCCAAUUAUCCAGCAAUGGUACUGUUCCUUUACCCUCUCUUCGAUUUUUAAGAAAGUAGUCAUGUUGGGAGUCUGGCUCUCGAGAUUCGGAGGACGGUGCCUCUUCGAUUUUGGAGCAAGCAAUCUUAUUGGGAGUGUUUUCUCGAAUGUGAGUAAAGGUUGGGCAUGUUUGCUAGUCUACCUUGCCACGAAGCACAGAGGUUGACACACAGGGACUUUCCAAUUAUCCAGCAGUGGUACUGUUCCUUUACCCUUGUGGGUAAUAAUAUGGUAGUUAGACCUUCAAAAUUUAUGGGUCUAAACUUUGUUAGUGCUGUUUCUUUGCUAUUCUUUUACCCUUCUUGGUCAGAGCGAUGUAGUGGGAGCUGCAAGCUUCACGUGCUCAACUUUGGCAGAGAACUUUGGCAAAGUUAUCUGUGGUACCCAUGAGCUAUUGUUGCGUGUGGGAAGUGGGUGAUUGAACAGUAAGAUUCAUGUGUUUUCUACUUCCCCAGAAGUCUUUGACAGAAUGCCCAUAAUUUCCGCAAAACUGAGUGUGCGUGUGACAGGUGCUGACAAGGCUGGAAAAGGCUGGAAAAAGUAGGUGCCUCUUCGAUUUCUGAUAUCGGCCCUCGUGGUCUCUGGGGAGCCCAGCUUUUGAGAAAGCGAGCGCCUCUUCGAUUUUUGAGAUCGGCCUUCGUGGUCUUUGAGCAGCCCAACUUUUGAGAAAGCAAACGCCUCUUCGAUUUCUGAGAUCAACCCUCGUGAUCUCUAAGCAGCCCAGCUUUUGAGAAAGCAAACGCCUCUUCGAUUUCUGAGCAGGCGCCUCUUCGAUUUCUGAAGCUUCGUCGAGUGCAGAUUUUUAUAGGGGCUGGCAUUAAGUUCCAAAGCACACUUGAAUCUCCACCAGUAGAAGCUUCAUUCUUGCACUUCUAAGAUCUUGAUUUGUCCGACCUCUUCUCUCUUCAACACCUUUGAAAAUGUCUGGCCCCUCCGACCGUCGUUUUGACUUGAACCUUGUUGAAGAGGCAGCCCCGCCUUCUCCAGACAACAUAUGGCGCCCAUCCUUCGUCUCCCCUACUGGUCCUCUUACCGUUGGGGAUUCCGUGAUGAAGAAUGAUAUGACCGCUGCGGUGGUGGCCAGGAACCUUCUCACUCCCAAAGAUAACAGACUACUUUCCAAACGGUCUGAUGAGUUAGCUGUUAAGGAUUCGCUGGCUCUCAGUGUUCAGUGUGCAGGUUCUGUGUCUAAUAUGGCCCAACGCCUAUUUGCUCGAACCCGCCAAGUUGAAUCAUUGGCGGCUGAAGUGAUGAGUCUCAAACAGGAGAUUAGAGGGCUCAAGCAUGAGAAUAAACAGUUGCACCGGCUCGCACAUGACUAUGCUACAAACAUGAAGAGGAAGCUUGACCAGAUGAAGGAAACUGAUGGUCAGGUUUUACUUGAUCAUCAGAGAUUUGUGGGUUUGUUCCAAAGGCAUUUAUUGCCUUCGUCUUCUGGGGCUGUACCGCGUAAUGAAGCUCCAAAUGAUCAACCUCUGAUGCCUCCUCCUUCUAGGGUUCUGUCCAGUACUGAGGCUCCAAAUGAUCCCCCUCCGGUGCCUUCUCUUUCUGGGGCUCUACCGACUGCUGAGACUUCUCCUAAGCAACCUUUGUGAAGGCUCCCUCUUGUGUGCUUAUUUUGACUCAUGUAUAUGUACAUAUUUGUAGCUUAUCGGGGAUAUCAAUAAAUAAGCUUUCCUUGUACAUAUUUGUAGCUUAUCGGGGAUAUCAAAAAAUCAUAAUAGUUAAAACAAUACCUAUAAUUAUUAUGAAUUUAACAUUCUACAUGAUUAAUUUAGACUAAAAUAAAAAUCUCAGUUAAAUUUAGAAACGAGGGGAUUAAGUGGUGGUGAAGAAAGGACAGCAGAAUGGUAGGUUAUGUCGGUGGUGUGGACCGUGUGAUCAAUCUGAUCGUGGUUUGUGGAGACUGGAGAGGAGACUGGUAUUGUGCUGAUGGUCUUCGGUUGGGACAAGGAUUGUCUGCCCUUCCACUUCCGGUGUCCUUCCGUGUCCUCCUGUUUUGUGUGGUCACAGUUAAGCCAAGUUAACAUUUUAUAUUGUUUUUUUAUAGAGAUAAUAAGACAAAAAUGAAUAGUAAUAUAAAAUGUUGACGUGACUUAACCGUGACCAUACAAAUAAGAGGGCACGAGAGGGCAUUGGAAGUGGGAGGGUAGACAAUCCUUGUCCCUUCGGUUGAGUGGGGUGGGGUUUUCAAGCUACGCAUCAAAACACACCGUUUUACUUAAAUGACUUGACUCCUUUAAAAAGAAAAAAAAGAAAAAAAAGAAAAAAAAAAAACUUCUUCUCUCCAUCUCGGUUGCAGAAUACCAGAAGACCCACCAGAAGUCAGAACACGGUGCGGCCCCACUCUUCUUCUCCUCCACCACACUUGGUGGUCCACGGAGGUCCUUGCAGCCACUUGUUCGGGCUUCCGGAUGGUCCCAAGACCACCCAAGUCUCUUAGUAGAUGGUAUUACCUCAUGUGAAGCUUCCGAAACAACUUUGAUAUAUUUUUCUCAAAUUAUUAUGAUUGGUUGAAAUUUUUUUUUUAAUUUCCAGCCACGUUAAUUAAGGAUGAAUCAUUUUAUCUCUUAUUUAAGAAUAUUUGUUAAAAACAAAUGUAAAAAUAUUUGUUCCUUGAUCCUAACUUAUUUUGUAUAUAUUAGGAAAAAGAACAUUUCCAUAAAACGUAACAGGACUGCAUACCUGACGGGACGGUUAUGGUGUAGGCAAUCCCUAGCCAUUCCCAAAUUGUCACCUCUAGAUAUGCUUUGCUAGGAGUCCAUUAAUUGAUUACUUCACUGUUACUAUAAAUUUGUAUGUGAUUGCGCAGGCAUCAAUAAUUACUUCUCAUCAUUUUAAUUUGUGCAGUUGUGACUAUUUCUGAGCCUCAACAGAUCAAGCUUCCAAAUUUCCAAGGAACUAGUCUUUGGCUGUUACUCUUCCCUUCGUUGAGUUCUGCACCUCAAUAUUGCUCAAGAACGUUUCACUAUUUCUUUGAUUUCUUGGAGUGCCCUUCACUCUUAACAUGGCACUGGGAGAGGGUUUUCUUGCGGCGUUUCUAAAGGUGCUGCUCAACAGGUUGACCUCCCGCGAGAUUCUCAACUACAUUGGAAACUUCCGGGGCGUCAGAAAGAAGCUGGACAAGUGGAGGGCCGUGUUAACUGCAAUAGGAGCGGUGCUCAGCGAUGCCGAGGAAAAACAACUCACUGAGGAUGCUGUGAAACUGUGGCUCGAUGAUCUCAGAGACUUGGCUUAUGAUGUCGAAGACAUGUUGGACAAAUUUGACACCCAAAUGUUGAAGCGCAUGAUAGAGGGACGUGAUCAAGCCCGCACAAGCAACAAGGUGCGGACCUCACUUUUCAAAAUUAAAUUCAAUAGGGAUAUGAACUCCGAAAUGAAGAAGAUUACGGAGCGGUUGCAAGACAUAUCUGAACGGAAAGAGAAGUUUGGCUUGAAAGAUACUGGGACGUCUGCUAAGGAAUCGCGAAGUCUACCAAGUUCAGAUGUGUUAGAUGAAAAGCUAGUUGUUGGAAGGGAUGGUGACAAAGGGGAGAUUAUUGAAUUGUUGUCAAGAAAAUACGAGCAUGAAGGUGCUGUCAAUUUUGGUGUAGUUGCUAUAGUUGGCAUGCCCGGAGUUGGGAAGAUGACACUUGCUCAACUUGUAUUCAACCACAAAGAUGAUGCCAUGAAGGAGUUUGAGCCUAAGGUGUGGGUAUCUGUGUCUGAUGACUUCAAUGUGGUGCGAGUGACAAAGGCAAUUCUUGAAUCCAUCACAUCCCGACCCGUUCAAAUGGAGGAGUUUAGUAAAAUUCAGCAUGAUUUGUGUGAGCAAUUAAGAGGAAAAAAGUUUUUAAUCGUGUUAGAUGAUAUCUGGAACAAAGGCGACUAUGAUCUACACGAUCUCUGGACAAGACUUAAAUCCCCUUUUGGCGUCGGAGCAGGAGGAAGUAAGAUUAUUGUGACAACCCGUGAUGUGCAUGUUGCAAGGACUAUGGGAGCCACGGGAGUUCAUAAUUUGGAAUGUAUGGCAGAUGAUGAUUGUUUGGAAAUAUUUGAGCGACAUGCAUUUGGGGAAGUUAAUAGUGUAAAACCAGUAAAUUAUGAGUUGAUUCGGACAAAAAUUGUUGAAAAAUGUUGUGGCUUACCAUUAGCUGCGAGGACUCUCGGUGGUCUCUUACUUUGCAAAGAAAAAGAUGAGUGGGGAGAAAUAUUGGACAACAAACUAUGGAAUCUUGCAGAUAACAGUAGCCUUCUCCCCGUACUAAAGUUGAGCUAUCACUAUCUUCCAUCACAUUUGAAGAGGUGUUUUGCCUACUGCUCAAUACUUCCAAAUGACUACGAAUUUUGGGAGAAGCGGCUCGUCCUUUUGUGGAUGGCAGAGGGUUUGAUUCAACAAAAACCUGAUGACAAUAAACAAAUGGAGGAUUUGGGCCGCGACUACUUUCGAGAGCUAUUAGCAAGGUCGCUGUUUCAAGAAUCAAGCAAAACCAAUUCAAGAUAUGUAAUGCAUGACCUCGUUAAUGAUUUAGCACAUUGGGCAGCAGGAGAAAUAUGUUUUAGGUUGGAAGAUAAGCAAGGUGAUAACUUGCAAAGCACUUGCUUUCAAAGGGCUCGCCAUUCGUCUUUCAUUGCUGGUGAAUUUGAUGGAGUUACGAGAUUUGAGGACUUCCCAAAAGCUGAACGCUUGCGAACAUUCCUGCCACUUUCACUUUCAGAUUCUGGUGGAUGGUACAAAUGUUUGUCUCGUAAGGUUACUUUUGAGCUAUUACCACAGUUGCAAUACUUACGAGUGCUCUCGUUCAAUUGCUACACAAUAACUGAGCUGCCAAAGUCAAUCGGUGAUUUGAGGUUGUUACAGUAUCUUGACCUUUCCUACACAGAUAUAACCUGUUUGCCUAAGUCAACAAGCACUCUUUACCACUUGCAAACAUUGAUAUUGGAAGGUUGUUCUAAAUUGAAGUCAUUGCCCACAAACAUGAGUAAUCUAAUUAAUUUGCGCCAUCUCAACAACUCAGGUGCAUAUUCGUUGGAAGGAAUGCCUUGGCAACUAGGUCGAUUGACGAAUCUACAAUCAUUGCCUCUUUUUGUGGUGAGCAAAGGUAGUGAUCAAUCAGGGAUAAGAGAGAUAGGGCCCCUAUUGCAUCUUCGAGGGACACUGUGCCUCUCAAGAUUGGAGAAUGUGACUGAUGUCAAGGAUGCCAGGAGGGCCAACUUGAAAUGCAAGGAGAGGCUUGAUUCGUUGGUCCUAAAAUGGUCUCAUUCAAGCGACACGAGAGAAACGGAAUCCGUUGUGCUUGACAUGUUAGAGCCUCAUACAAAGCUCAAGGAGCUCACCAUCAAGAGUUAUGCCGUAGAGGAAUUUUCAUCAUGGGUUGGAGGUCAUUUGUUCUCUAAUAUGGUGCUUGUGCGGUUAGAGGAAUGUAACAAUUGUUUAUCGGUGCCACCUCUCGGACAAUUGCCUCAUCUCAAAGAACUUUAUAUUAGAGGAAUGAAUGCAGUGGAAAGUGUUGGUGCUGAGUUUUAUGGCGAGUGUAUCUUGCCUUUUCCGCUGUUAGAGAUUCUUGAGUUUGUGGAUAUGUAGCAUUGGAAGGUGUGGCUUCCUUUCCAACUGGAUCACGAAAGUGCUUUUUUCCCUUGCCUGAAAAGGCUUUCAAUCAAACGAUGUUCAAAGUUGGAAGGUGAGCUGCCAGAGAAGCUCGAUUUGUUAGCCGAACUUGAAAUUGUUAAAUGUGAGGAAUUGGUGGUUUCGAUUGCCAACUACAAACAACUUCGUCAAAUAAAAAUUGACGGUUGUAAAGUGUUGGUACAUACAGAUGCUAAGGUUGAGUUUGAGUUAUUAGAGUCCUUGUGGCUUUCAAACAUUUCGGAGGUGACGUCUCUGCAAACAGGGGAAUUGUUCAGGAAGGGAUUAAGCAAGGUUAGAGAUUUGAAGAUCCAUGGAUGUGAGAAGCUGACGUCUUUAUGGAAGAAUGAGGAUGCUAAGGUUGAGUUUGAGUUAUUAGAGUCCUUGUGGCUUUCAAACAUUUCGGAGGUGACGUCUCUGCUAACAGGGGAAUUGUUCAGGAAGGGAUUAAGCAAGGUUAGAGAUUUGAAGAUCCAUGGAUGUGAGAAGUUGACGUCUUUAUGGAAGAAUGAGGCUAGAUUAUUGCAGCGGUUGACUUGUCUUGGCCGUUUGGAAAUUGAAGACAACUCUUGUCUAGUUGAAGAAUUGGGAAAAGAAGCAGAGGAGUUGAUGCAAUUGCAAAUAUUGGAGUGCAAGCUUGAAUUUCUGGAGUUAAACAAGUGCGAAAAUCUUUGGACGCUACCAAAAGGAUUAAAUCAGCUGUCGUCUCUUAAAGAGCUUCGCAUUCACGAAUGUUCACGUCUAGUUUCUUUCCCAGAUGUUGGUCUGCCACCUUCUCUUAAAGACAUUGAGAUUAUAUCGUGCGCUUCGUUGAUAUAUUUUGCAAAAUUCCAGAUUCCCCAAAAUCUAAGAAGAAUAGAUAUAAGAGAUUGCAAAAGUUUGAAAUCACUAGUAGAUGAGGAGGAAUGUGAACGACUGGGUUUAAUAGCACCGAACGGGUUCUUCAGCGACAACACCAAUCACUGCCUUGAAUAUAUUCUGAUCUCGAAUUGCCAAAAUCUGAAAUCCUUACCGGAUGGCUUAUGCCACCUCAGCAAUCUUCAAAAGCUAUAUAUUGAACUAUGUGGAAGUCUUGUUUCCAUCCCGAGACUGAGUGGGGGGAGAAGACCCUCCAACCUGAGAACGAUCUGGAUCAUCGGAUGCGACAAAUUGGAGGCGUUGCCCGAAAACAUGCACAAUCUCAACUCUCUUGAGGAUUUGAGCAUCGACUACCGUGAAGGUUUGACUUUUCCUCCCAACCUAACAUCACUUGAUCUUUGGAAGGUCAAGAGUUGUAAGUCAUUGUGGGAGUUGGAGUGGGGGUUGCACAGACUCACCUCUCUUAGAUACUUGUAUAUCGACAGUGAAGACCCGGAUACGGUGUCGUUUCCACCCGACAUGGUACGGAUGGAGACGCUCUUCCCCAAAUCUCUCACUAACCUCGCAAUAGGUGGCUUCCCGAAUCUAAAGAAACUGAGCAGCAAGGGCUUUCAAUUCCUCACCUCCCUUCAAUCUCUGAAACUCUUCCGUUGUCCAAAGCUAGCAUCUAUUCCAAAGGAGGGUCUGCCUCCUUCGCUAGAGGAACUUUGGAUCGAAGGGUGUCCAGUGCUAAAAGAGAGAUGUCAACCAGGAAAAGGACGCUACUGGCACAAAAUAUCCCACAUCCCUUACAUAAGGAUAGAUUAUAAGAAGAUAUGAAGCUGAUGGUCCAGGUAUCAUCUCUCGAGGAAUGUUUUAAUAUUAAUAUUAUUAUUAUUAAUAUCUCACAUCCCUUUCAUAAGCAUAGAUUGGGAGUUGAUAUGAAGCUGAUGGUCCAGGUAUCAUCUCUCAAGGAAUGUUUUAAUAUUAAUAUUAUUAUUAUUAUUAAUCAUCUUUAUUCUUGUAAAGUAAAGUAAUCCACAUAUUUUGGUUUGGGUCAAGGCUUUGGGGGUUGAGGAGUGGCUACUUUGGGAGGCCUUUCAAUUGGCGUCAACGGGGAUAUUUCUCCGCCAACGUUUCUUCUCCCAGAUUCCUAUAUUUGCUUCUUUCUUUCUUUUUUUUAUUGGUAAACGAUUGCUAUGUUUGCUUGGUCCCUUUUCAUUGAUUUGUAUUAUAACUUUAUAAAUGUGCUACUCUUUCUCCCAGCAAGAUUUUAAUCAGGCCACUUUAAUCUAAUCUUUUAUUUUAUUUUAGCAAAUUUUGACUUAUGAGCUAGUAAUGCAUUUUAUUUAAUGCAUCGAGAAUAAGCAAUCAACAAAGAAAUGGAAAUGUAAAGAGCUCGUUGCUCAAGUGGGUACAAGAGUGAUUUUACCCUUGGCCGUUUGUUAUGCACUUGCUAGAGGCUUGUGGAACGAUGACCACUAAAUGACUUCCUUUACUAUAACUUGUCUUCCUGAAAGUAGAAAAUACGUGCCAACGAAUUUUGGUCAAUCAAAUCCUUAUACCAAGCCUUCAUCACUUGUUCAAAAAAUGCAUUAUUCAUCUAAUUGAUAUGUGAUAAAUUGGUGAUGAUUAUGCAUUUUAACCGAGUUCUAAGGAAAAUUGAAGAUAGUAAUACAUCAGUACUAAAACUACAAAAUAUUACUGAAUUUGUAUACUUAUUACUUGGGUGCCCUCUGCCUUGCUGUGCUGAAUAACAAUGAGAAUAUAUUACUGAAUUCUAGCAGGAAAAAGGCAGGCCACUCUCAAAAUUUGGUGAAUGGGACGUCAAUGAUCCUGCUUCAGCUGAGGGGUUUACUGUGAUCUUUAACAAGGCUAGGGAUGAGAAGAAGACAGGUGGAAAACCGGAGUCACCAGGAAAGGUUGAUCCUAAUAUCAGGCAUGGAGGAGUGGAUACUGGCACUGGCACUGGCAGGCCUUCGUCUGUAAGAUUUUUUCUCAUAACUCUGUCUCAUUUCUUUGUCUAAUGAUUUGAUAAUAUACACAUGAGACAGCCAAUAGCAAUACAUUCUUUACGGUUUUCUUAGUUGCAAGUUAUUGCUUUUCAAGUGACGUCAGUAGUACAACACAGCAUACCAUUUGAUGUGAAAAUCAAUGCAACUGACUUAUAUAGAACUCUAGUAAGGAAAUGUGGCAAAAGACAGAUCUAAUGUUAGGGCCAAGAUAUUUGAAAAAUAAAAGAACACAAGAUGAUUCGGCUGUUUUAUCUGCAUUAUUCCAUGGGAGUGGAAUUGGCAUACGUUAACUUCACUCAGGUUCCAUCUCCUUUUAGACAGAUGUAGCCUAAUAGGAACAUUUGUUUGUUUUAUUGUGAACAAUUGAAAGAACUAUUGGCCCUUGAAAUAUUUGCUCUUGUCAAUUGAUCAUUGUGUGGCCUUUUCGUUUUCUGUGUCUGCUGCAUUUCCAAUUAGUAGAAUAAUAGAACGAAUAACUGGACGGUAAUUAUUUCUGCUGCCAAAAUCUAAUAUGCUUAAAUUCCUCACUCUUUGUGGAUGAUUUGAUUUGGUUUGAUUUCCUGGUGCACAGAAAAAAUGGUUUUGCAGCAUUCAUCAACCACCAGCAGUUUUGUUGACAAUGUUGUUCUCCUAAGUGCUCCGAUGGAGGAGCACGGUGUUCUGUAACUGGCUCCACUAUAUUUCCUCUCUCACUGUAUGUCUAUGAAAUUGGCAGCCGGGUAAGUGAAGUUUGAAGCAAUGGUUAGCAGUUUGCCUAAGGAAAUCGUACAUGAUAUCCUUUUGAGACUACCUCCUAAAGCUUUGAUGAGAUGCACCUCGGUGUCCAAGCCUUGGAACUCCAUGAUAAAAAGUCCCAGCUUUAUUCGCACCAAGGUAUAAAAUAUCAAUGAUAUCGGAAAUGUCGGUAGUCCAAAAACACGGAAAUUUCGAUGGAAAUAUCGGGAUAUUAUCGAUAUCGAUAAAAAUUGAAUAAAAACCAUGGAAAUUGUUAGAAAAACUUGGAAAUUUUUAUUGAAACUUUGCUGGAUGUUUAUUUAGUCAAUUAUCUAUUAGUUUAUUACAAAAAAUUGGAAGGAAAUGCAUUGCAUGAUAGAUAUAACUGAUUUAAAUUGAUUAUAUAGCGAGCUGGCAAACAUGGUGAGUGUAGAAAAUAUGUAGUAAUUAAUGAAAGAAGUUUAAACACACCAUAAUCAUUUAUAUAUAAUGAAUUAGUACAAUAUUUUACACUUUAUACAUUUCAUGGUAAGAUACAUGAGUGACUUAGCAAGGUCUAAAAUAUCGAUGAUAUCGGAAAUAUCGGUAGUCCAAAAAAAUAUCACUAGUCCAAAAACGCGGAAAUUUCGAUGGAAAUAUCGGGAUAUUAUGGAUAUUUUAGACCAUGAUUCGCACCCACCUCAGCCGUACCAUCGAUUUUAAGCAGUUUGGCACCCACCGACUCCUUCUGCAUUGUGUUAGUGGAGACAAUCCAGUGGAGCAGAAUUACUAUUUGCAUUAUGAUAACCAUGCUUUUGAUGAGUACUGCAAGCUAGAGUAUCCAAGUGUUCCCAAGCGCAAGAGAUUUCUUCGUGUGGUCGGAAUGCGAGGAUCCGAAUACUUUUUAUGGGCUUAUUCACUUGCUAGAGGCUUGUGGAGUAGUCCUUGUUCUUUUGAUCCCGUUUGUAAAGUUUUUUAUUCUUGCAAAUUUCAGGCUUUUGUGAACUGGGCAGUUCAUUGGCUGGCAUGGCGCUGCUUGAACGAUGGUCGUUAUCAAAAUUUCAUUUUAGCAAUUGAUGUGGACGGUGAGUUAUUUUGCGAGAUAAGGGUGCUAAAGAGUUUCAGACAGGAUGAACCAUUAGAUUAUCACUUGUCUGUUUCAGGUGAUGGAAACUCCGUUGCUAUGUUCACGACAACGCGUGGUCGUAAUUGUCCUGAGGAUUUUCUUGACAUAUGGGUGAUGAAAGAGUAUGGCAUCGAGGAUUCAUGGGCCAAACUGAUAACUCUAAGUCCACCGGAUCCGGAAAGAAGGGUGCCCUACAAGCCCUUAUGUUUUAGGAACAAUGGUGAAGUAGUGUCCUGACUUUAUCACUUGUUCUAGUAAAAAACGUCGCAUGUACUGGGAUUUUCUCAGGGAUGCCUUGUGAUAUUCUGACAUGGGUAAAUUGUAGCAAUGGUCCCUCAUUUUUUAAUCAAAUUGGAGCAAUGAUUCGUCAACUAAAAUUUCAUUACCAUUGGUCCCUCAAUUUAUGAAAAUGUGUAGCUAUAGUCAUAUUCAUCAAUUUUGUCUAAAUAAGUUAUGUUGGAAUAAUCAUUUAUAUAAUUAGGGUCCCUCAAUUCAUCAAAGUGUGUAAUUAAGGUUCUUUUCGUCAACUACGUCAAAAUUUUUGUCAAAACGAGUUAUGUUGGACGGAUCAUUGCUACAAUUAGGUUAAAGUUAAGGGACUAUUUCUCCAGUUGAAUUAAAGUUGAGGGAUCAAUGGUAAUAGAUUUUUAGUUAAGAGACCAUAGCUGCACAUUUUGAUGAGUUGAGGGACCAAUAAUAAUGAAUUUUUAGUUGAGUGACCAUUGCUCCAAUUGAGUUAAAGUUAAGAGACCAUAGCUACAAUUUACUCUUCUAACAUUGCUGGAUGUUAGCUAGAGAUGAACAUUUUUCCUUUAGUUUGUCUGUUAAUUUAGAGACCUAGAAGAAGUUGCUUAUCACAACAUGUUGCCAAUGUUCAUGGAUAUAUACAGUUAAAUUAAUUUCUUUGAAAUUGCUUGUGAUAUUUUCGUGCCAAAUAGGAAGAGAAGAAAAUUGCAUAUCUUAUUUUUUUAGCUCUAAUAAGAUUUAUCUAGUCACGAGACUUUUACAAUAACUUUUGCUCCUAUGGUCAACCAAAAUAAUAAUAUUACAGUAGAGACUAGUAGUCCAUUAGUAAUUGUGUGUUCAACUGAAAGCAGCGAGAAAAAUACGUACCUUUUUCUCUUCUCUGUUUUCAAAGAAUUUUUUAUCUUCUUCCUCUGCAACCCUUGCAUGCAGGUUUGGCAGUAAAGUAAGUUUCCGCGCAAUUAAAAUAAUGGCAAACUAAUCUUUCGGUUUCGUACGAAGAUAGGAUAAUUUAUACUAAAUUAUUUUUUUGUCUUUUAUUAAAGAAUACAUUUAUAAAAAAAUAAAAAAAGAAGUUUUAAGUGUUUGGGAUCUUUUAAAUACCAAUUUCAAUACAGCUAUUAGUUUAAGUAACAUAAUUUUUAGUUUAGGUGCCAAUGAAAAAAUCAACUAAAAUAAUUCUAUAAAAACUAUUAUAAUUCAAAAUAAUUAUACGAUUGCCGCGUUUUCCGACCUGCCAACUGUAUUCGCAACCACCUCACCCUUACAAUCAAUCUUAAUAACCACGUUUCGACUGACCUCCUUGUACUGCAUUGUAUUCGCAUACACGAGCCAAGGGAGGAGCAUUAGUAUUUGCAUUAUGAUAAAUAACCAUGAUUUUGAUGAGUACUGUAGACUAGAAUUUCCAAUCAUUCCCAAGGGAGAAUGGUUUAAUACGACCUAUAGACUACAAGAACUCAAAUUCCUUUUUUGUUAUCUUCUGUAAACCAUCCAUUAGAGCUCUCGGCAGGCAGUGACCAUUUUUGAGGAAUGACUAGACACAUGUUGGGGCAUCAUCAUGACAUCAUAGGUGAACAAUACGAUUUCGCGUUUAAGUUUCUCUCUAUAUACAUCGUGUUAACUUUGUUUUUCUACUUUCCUAGCACGUUCCGGUUCGUGUAUUUUCAGUUUUUGUAUAGUGGAAAGGUCAAGUUGGUAGUAGAUUGACAUAGCGAAAAAAUUACUUGUCACUAAUUCAGUUUACCAAGCUUAAUUGGUCUCUCUUAACUUACAAAAUUGUCAUAAUAAGCUAGUAGUUUCACUUCAUGGAAAUCUUGCUCAAUGUUGUUUGACUUGUUUCCCUUCUUAAACAUCGAUCGAGAUGUUCGUUAAUUAAAUGCUAAUAAUACUUGCUCUUCACCUUCAAAUGGAUCAUAAGUUAAUAUAGCUCUGUGAUUAAUUAAGUAGUAUGACUCCAAAAUGGUAAAAGCAUAAUCCAUGAUAAUUUUGGUAAAUCUGAUCUCGGCAAGAUCAUGUUCUUCUCUUCUUGUUGUGUGGCUCACGUUGUUUCAGAGUCUUUUACUGUUUAAAAUUAAUUACUAUUCCACCCGAAGUUUCACGUUUGGGUCCUCUUCUUAUAGCGGAAACGAAAAAGUAUAACCGUGUAGGAUAUUUGCGAUAAGAAAGCAAUCAAAAAGAAAACAAUAUGACCCCACGAAAAAUAAAGAGAGAACAAAAACAAGGAAUCUUUCUUUCUUUACGGGCAGAAAGAUGAAGACAUGUUAGUCUUUUAACACGUAUCGCAAUGGCAAAUUGAAGUAGUUAUCGUCGAAAGAGGAAGACUUGUUAUAGUCUUUCAAGUCGACACCUAAUUAUCCUAGCAAAUUGAUCUGUAAAGUAGUCUACAAAAACUCAAAUUCCAUUUAAACUACCUGUUUUAUUAAAGGAAUAUACUAUCCGCAUAUCUAUUUUUACUUAUCAGACACUCUUUUUUACUUCUCACAUCCCCUUUGUUAACUUUUGUCCUUUGAUCUACUUCAAUUCAUCCGAUCCGACACCGAAAAUUAAAAUGAUGUGUGAGAAGUAAAAAAAGGUGUGUGGAUAUCACACCAUUUUACUAAAUCCUAAAUUGUAUAACUCCUUCAAAUAUAUCAAAGGCGAAUAUGGUACCUUCUGUAAACAAUCCGGUAGAGCUCUCAGCAGGCAAUGAUAAUAUUUAGGGAAUGACUAGACACAUGUUGGGACGUUAUCGUGACAUCAUGGGUUAACAAUACAAUUUGUGUUUAAAUUUCUCUUCACUAGCUUAGUUUUUCUACUUUCCUAACAUGUUCGGGUUCGUGCAUUUUCAGCUUUUGGGUAGUGGAAAAGUCAAGUUGCUGGUAGACUAAGUAGUGAACAAGUAGAUUCACACGGCAAUACAUAAGUCAAAAAUUACUCGUCACUAAUUCAGUUCUACCGAGUUUAGUUUGUCUCUCUUAAUCUUCAAACUUACAUAAUAAGCUAGUAAUUUCACUUCAUGAAAAUCUUGCUCAAAGUUGUUUGACUUGUUUCCUUUCUUUAGCAGCUAGACGUUCAAUUAUAUGCUAAUAAAACUUGCUCUUCAUCUUCAAUUGAUCUAAAAUAUAGCUCUGCGACUAAUUAAGUAGUAUGACUACAAGAUGGUUAACAAUAAUCCAUGGUAACCUUUUGCAGGAUCAUUUUCUUCUUCUUUGUGUUGUGUGGCUUAGGCUGUUUGAGUCUUUUACUACUUUAAAUUAAUUUAAGGAAAACUAAUGAAAAUGACUUGAAAACUUUGAGUUUUAACGAAAAUGACAAAAAUGUGUUGUAAAUGAAUAGUAUCAAUAUUGACUUUUUAGAGUAAAAAUGUGAUUUUUUGUUAAAGUAACAGUACCUUGAGUUUUUCUUCGUUAAAGUUUCGUUAAAUUUAUUGUCUCAACAUUAUCUACAAUGGCCUAAAAAAUUAAUCACCCUUUCAAACUAAUAUAAUCGGUAUUGCAAGAAAUGCAACUCAGUUGUUUACCAGCAAUCACCCUUUCACCCUAAAUUGCGUGUUUGGUUCCUCAUCUCCCAAAAUCGUUCGUAUAAAUGAAAAGAAAAUGUAUAACCGUGUAGGACAUAGGAGAUAAGAAAGCAAUUAAAAAGAUAAAAGAGGAAUCUGUCUUUUUUGGCAGAAAGAGGAAGACUUGUUAUAGUCUUUCAACACCUAAUCAUCAUUGCAAUUUGAAGAGCCUCGACUAGAAGAAAAAGACGUCUUAUGUACUCGGAAUUUUCUCCGGGAUGCCUUGUGAUAUUCUGAUAUUGCUGCUAGAAAUAAACAUUUUUCCUUAAGUUUGUCUGCUAAUUUACCGUCCUAGAAAAAGUUGCUUAUCACAACAUGUUGCCAAUGUUCAUGGACAUAUACAGUUAAUGAGUUUCUAUGAAAAUGUUGUCGAUAUUUUCGUGCCAAAUGUUGAGUGCAUCAUCUAUUUGUUGUAGCCUUAAUUUCUAGUUGCCCUCCAACUUUCAACGUUGCUUUGCUUAAUUGCAAACCUUUCAUCUCUUAUUGUGCUUUCUUCUCAAUAUUCUCACACCUCUAUAAGGCGAGAAGCAAAUUACAUAUCUCGGUUUCAAAGCUUUAAUAAGAUUUAUAUCUCUCUCAUUACAAAACUUUUACAAUAAAUUUUCCUCCCAUGGUCUAUCAAAAUAAUAAUAUUUCAGCAGCGACUAUCUAUUAUCAUAAAUUUUGGUGCAUUUGAAAGCAGCGAGAACAAUACAUUUUUAUUUUAUUUUUUCUCAAAUAAAUUUUUUGGUCAUUUUCCUCUGCAACCCUUGAGUUUCAACCCACUUUAUUUAUAAGAGUGAGGAGAACAAAUUUUUAAACCAAAUUUUGUAAAUAAAAUGAUAUGUCACUAAUAAAAAAUAAGUACGUUAAUUAAUACUUGAAUAAUUUGAUCUCUCUAACAUUAUUCUUAAAAUAAUGGUAAACUAAUUUUUUUAUUUAUUUUUACGAAUGAUAGAAUAAUCUAUUAAACUAUUGUGUUUUUUUUCUUUUUGUGAACAAUAAGACAAUAAACUAUUAUUUCGCCUUUUAUUAAAGAGUACUAAAAAAACGAAGUUUUUGAGAUCUUUUAAGUACCAAUUCCAAUAAAACUUUCAGGGUAAGUAACGUGAUUUUUAGUUUACAAAUAUUAAAAAAAACUAAUGAAAAUGACUUGAAAAUUUUGAGUUUUAAUGAAAAAGACAAAAAUGUGUUGUAAGUGAAUAGUACCAGAAUUGACAUUUUAAAGUAAAAAUGUGGUUUUUUGUUAAAGUGAGCAGUACCGAAAGAGUUUCGUUAAAGCUCCCAAAUACUAAUGAAAAAGUUAACCAAAAUAAAUCUACAGAUAUUAGAGCAAGUCCAUCCCUGAAAACUUUGUGCCAGCACCCAGCGUAUUUAUAUCUCCAUCGGCACCCGGAUGCAGUGUUAAAUGAGCAAGGGGGCUAUAGAAACUUCUUUUCGAACGACUCCACUCAAAGUUGUUUGGGAGCAUAUGCUCCUAUCAACUUUACACGGGACACACAAAAGAAGUACUUUGAUCCUAUUAGACGGGGAAGGGUGAAGAAGCUAGGACAGAAGGGUAGAGUUCAAGAGAGCAAAAUGCGUUUAGGAACGUGGAAUAUAGGAACCUUGACGGGAAAAUCUAUGGAAGUAGUAGAAGUUAUGGUGAGGAGAAGGAUAAAUAUUAUGUGCCUACAAGAAACUAAGUGGGUUGGGCGUAAGGCAAAGGAUCUAGAAAACUCAGGGUUUAAACUAUGGUAUUCGGGCACAAAUAGAACGAGAAACGGUGUUGGCAUCAUCGUGGACAAGACCUUGACACAAGAUGUUGUAGAUGUCAAGAGGGUAGGAGAUAGAAUCAUGGCAAUCAAGAUUGUAAUAGGACAAGAACUUAUCAAUGUGAUUAGUGCGUACGCACCUCAAGUAGGGUUGGAUACGAGUUCGAAGGAGAAAUUUUGGGAAGACCUUGGAGACUUGGUGCAAGGAAUUGCUCAGACGGAGAAGUUAUUUAUAGGAGGAGAUUUAAAUGGACACGUGGGCAGGGAGACAGGCAACUAUGGAGGUUUUCAUGGUGGCCAUGGUUUUGGGGAGAGAAACGAGGAUGGGGAAGCUAUCUUGGAUUUUGCAAUGGCAUAUGAUCUCUUCUUAGCCAACACCUUCUUUAAGAAGCGGGAAGAACAUGUGAUCACCUACAAGAGUGGGUCGUCAAAAACACAAAUAGAUUUUCUUCUAAUGAGGAAAAGGGAUCGUAUAACUUGUAAGGAUUGCAAAGUUAUACCAGGAGAGAGCGUGGCUAAUCAACAUCGCUUGUUGGUGAUGGAUGUACAUAUCAAAAGAGUGAGAAAAAAGAACAAGACUUGGAAGUGCCCAAGGACUAGAUGGUGGAAUCUAAAAGAAGAAAAACAAGCAAUUUUCAAAGAGAAAAUAAUCACCCAGUGUGUGUGGGAUAGAGAGGGGGAAGCUAACCAAAUGUGGGAUUCCAUGGCUAGUUGUAUCCGAAAAGUAGCAAAAGAGGUAUUAGGAGAGUCCAAGGGCUUUGCCCCACACCAAAAGGAAUCUUGGUGGUGGAGUGAGGAGGUACAAACAAAGGUGAAGGCUAAGAAGGAAUGUUGUAAAGCCUUAUACAAGGAUAGGACCGAUGAAAAUGGUGAAAGGUAUAGAAAAGCGAAGCAAGAGGUGAAGAAAGCUGUGAGAGAAGCUAAGUUAGCGGCUUAUGACGAUAUGUAUAAACGACUAGAUACCAAAGAAGGAGAGUUGGAUAUCUAUAAACUAGCUAGAGCAAGGGAAAAGAAGACAAGGGACCUAAACCAAGUGAGGUGCAUCAAGGAUGAGGAUGGAAAGGUUCUUGCUACAGAGAACGCGGUUAAAGACAGAUGGAAAGGUUAUUUUCAUAAUCUUUUCAAUGAAGGACAUGAAAGGAGUGCUUCUUUAGGGGAGUUGAGUAACUCAGAAGAGUGUAGAAACUACUCUUUUUAUCGUAGAAUCCGGAAGGAAGAAGUGGUUGUAUCUUUGAAGAAGAUGAAGCAUAGAAAAGCAGUAGGCCCAGACGAUAUACCAAUCGAAGUGUGGAAAGUUUUGGGAGAGACAGGUAUAACAUGGCUCACUGACAUUUUCAAUAGGAUUUUGAAAACGAAGAAGAUGCCAAAUGAGUGGCGAACGAGCACUUUGGUGCCUAUCUACAAGAAUAAGGGCGAUGUACAAAAUUGCAUGAACUAUAGGGGUAUUAAGCUAAUGAGUCAUACAAUGAAGCUCUGGGAGAGAGUCAUUGAGCAUAGAUUGAGGCAAGAGACACGGGUUUCGGACAACCAAUUCGGGUUCAUGCCAGGGGCGCUCAACCAUGGAGGCAAUCUAUCUCUUACGAAGAUUGAUGGAAAGAUAUAGAGAUGGGAAAAAGGAUUUACACAUGGUCUUUAUAGAUUUGGAAAAAGCGUAUGAUAGGGUCCCAAGAGACAUUCUUUGGAGGAUUUUAGAGAAGAAAGGAGUACGAGUAGCAUAUAUCCAAGCUAUACAGGAUAUGUAUGAAGGAGCAAAGACUGCCGUAAGAACUCAUGAAGGACAAACCGAAAGCUUUCCCAUAACUGUAGGAUUACAUCAAGGCUCAUCCUUAAGUCCUUACCUUUUUGCGUUGGUAAUGGAUGAGUUAACAGGACAUAUUCAAGAUGAUAUUCCUUGGUGUAUGCUUUUCGCAGACGAUAUAGUGUUGAUAGAUGAAACUCAAGAAGGGGUAAAUGCAAAGAUUAACCUUUGGAGAGAAGUGUUGGAAUCUAAAGGUCUUCGCCUAAGCCGAUCAAAGACAGAAUAUAUGGAGUGCAAGUUCAGUGCAAAUGGAGGCCAAAAACGAGUUAGGGGUGAGGAUCGGAGAUCAAGAAAUACCAAAGAGCGACCGUUUUCGUUACCUAGGAUCUAUCUUGCAAAAGAACGGAGAAUUAGAUGGAGAUCUCAACCAUAGAAUACAAGCUGGAUGGAUGAAGUGGAAGAGUGCAUCCGGCGUGUUGUGUGACCGCCGUAUGCCACUGAAGCUCAAGGGAAAAUUUUAUAGGACGGCAAUAAGGCCGGCGAUGCUGUAUGGCACAGAAUGUGGGGCGGUGAAGCAUCAACACGUACACAAAAUGGGUGUAGCGGAGAUGAGGAUGCUUCGUUGGAUGUGUGGGCACACGAGAAAGGAUAAGAUUAGGAAUGAGGAUAUCCGGGGUAAAGUAGGAGUAGCCGAAAUUGAAGGAAAGAUGAGAGAAAAUCGGUUACGGUGGUUUGGACAUGUGCAAAGAAGGCCUACUGACGCUCCGAUUAGAAGAUGCGACUAUGGGACAGAGGUUCAGGGCCGAAGGGGUAGAGGAAGACCCAGGAAAACUUUGAGAGAGACCCUAAGAAAAGACGUAGAGUACUUGGAUCUAACGGAGGACAUGACACAGGACAGAACACAAUGGCGUUCUAAGAUUCAUAUAGCCGAUCCCACUCAGUGACUUGGAUUUUUCCAAGUCUCCAACCGAAAAGUUUGUCCUCGCUCGGGAAAUUAAGGGAACACUACCUCAACCUACAUGCUCCACUCACAAAGCUCCAACAUACAAGCUUCAACAAAAGAAAAUUCAAAGAACUUAGCGAAGAAGGCUUUGGUGAUUUAACACAAUACGUUGAAAUGAAGGAAAGCUUAUUUAUUGAUAUCCCCGAUAAAUUACAAAUAUGUACAUAUACUUGAGUCAAAAUAAACAAACAAGAGGAAGCCUUCACAAAGGUUGCUUAGGAGAAGUCUCGGCAGUCGGUAGAGCCCCAGAAAGAGAAGGCACCGGAGGGGGAUCAUUCGGAGCCUCAGUACUGGACAGAACCCUAGAAGGAGGAGGCAUCAGAGGUUGAUCAUUUGGAGCUUCAUUACGCGGUACAGCCCCAGAAGACGAAGGCAAUAAAUGCCUUUGGAACAAACCCACAAAUCUCUGAUGAUCAAGUAAAACCUGACCAUCAGAUUCCUUCAUCUGGUCAAGCUUCCUCUUCAUGUUUGUAGCAUAGUCAUGUGCGAGCCGGUGCAACUGUUUAUUCUCAUGCUUGAGCCCUCUAAUCUCCUGUUUGAGACUCAUCACUUCAGCCGCCAAUGAUUCAACUUGGCGGGUUCGAGCAAAUAGGUGUUGGGCCAUAUUAGACACAGAACCUGCACACUGAACACUAAGAGCCAGAGAAUCCUUAACAGCCAACUCAUCAGACCGUUUGGAAAGUAGUCUGUUAUCUUUGGGAGUGAGAAGGUUCCUGGCCACUACCGCAGCGGUCAUAUCAUUCUUCAUAACGGAAUCCCCAACGGUAAGAGGACCAGUAUGGGAGACGAAGGAUGGGCGCCAUAUGUUGUCUGGAGAAGGUGGGGCUGCCUCUUCAACAAGGUUCAAGUCAAAACGACGGUCGGAGGGGCCAGACAUUUUCAAAGGUGUAGAAGAGAGAAGAGGUCGGACAAAUCAAGAUCUUAGAAGUGCAAGAAUGGAGCUUCUACUGGUGGAUAUUCAAGUGUGCUUUGGAACUUAAUGUCAACCUCUAUAAAAAUCUGCACUCGACGAAGCUUCAGAAAUCGAAGAGGCGUUUGCUUUCUCAAAAGCUGGGCUGCUCAGAGACCACGAGGGUCGAUCUCAGAAAUCGAAGAGGCGUUUGCUUUCUCAAAAGCUGGGCUGCUCAAAGACCACGAAGGCCGAUCUCAGAAAUCGAAGAGGUUUGCUUUCUCAAAAGCUGGGCUACUCAGAGACCACGAGGGCCGAUCUCAGAAAUCGAAGAGGUUUGCUUUCUCAAAAGCUGGGCUGCUCAGAGACCACGAGGGCCGAUCUCAGAAAUCGAAGAGGUUUGCUUUCUCAAAAGCUGGGCUGCUCAGAGACCACGAGGGCCGAUCUCAGAAAUCGAAGAGGCACCUACUUUUCCAACCUUGUCAGCACCUGUCACACGCACACUCAGCUUUGCGGAAAUUAUGGGCAUUCUAUCGAAGAUUUCUGGCGAAGUAGAAAGCACAUGAAUCGUACUGUUCAAUCACCCACUUCCCACACGCAACAGUAGCUCAUGGGUACCACAUAUAACUUUGCCAAAGUUCUCUGACAAAGUUGAGACUACUUUUCCAGCCUUGUCAGCACCUGUCACACGCACACUCAGCUUUGCGGAAAUUAUGGGCAUUCUGUCGAAGAUUUCUGGCGAAGUAGAAAGCACAUGAUUCGUACUGUUCAAUCACCCACUUUCCACAUGCAACAGUAGCUCAUGGGUACCACAUAUAACUUUGCCAAAGUUCUCUGACAAAGUCGAGACAUGUGAAGCUUGCAACUCUCACUACAUCGCUCUGACCAAGAAGGGUAAAAGAAUAGCAAAGAAACAACACUAACAAAGUUUAGACACAUAAAUUUUGAAGGGCUAGCUACCAUAUUAUUACCCACAAGGGUAAAGGAACAGUACCACUGCUGGAUAAUUGGAAAGUCCCUGUGUGUCAACCUCUGUGCUUCAUGGCAAGGUAGACUAGCAAACAUGCCCAACCUUUACUCACAUUCGAAAAAACACUCCCAACAAGAUUGCUUGCCCCAAAAUCGAUGAGGCAUCGCCUCCGAAUCUCGAGAGCCAGACUCCCAACAUGAUUACUUUCUCAAAAAUCGAAGAGAGGGUAAAGGAACAGUACCACUGCUGGAUAAUUUGAAAGUCCCUGUGUAUCAACCUCUGUGCUUCGUGGCAAGGUAGACUAGCAAACAUGCCCAACCUUUACUCACAUUCGAGAAAACACCCCCAACAAGAUUGCUUGCUCCAAAAUCGAAGAGGCACCGCCCUCCGAAUCUCGAGAGCCAGACUCCUAACAUGAUUACUUUCUCAAAAAUCGAAGAGAGGGUAAAGGAACAGUACCACUGCUGGAUAAUUGGAAAGUCCCUGUGUGUCAACCUCUGUGCUUCGUGGCAAGGUAGACUAGCAAACAUGCCCAACCUUUACUCAUAUUCGAGAAAACACUCCCAACAAGAUUGCUUGCUCCAAAAUCGAAGAGGCACAGCCCUCCGAAUCUCAAGAGCCAGACUCCCAACAUGAUUACUUUCUCAAAAAUUGAAGACACCGCUCUCCGAAUCUCGAGAGCCAGACCCCCAGCAUGAUUGCUUUCUCAAAAAUCGAAGAGGCAUCGUUCUCCGAAUCUCGAGAGCCAGAUCCCCGACAGGAUUGCUUGUUCGAAAACCGAAGAGGCACCACUUUCCCAACUUCAAGAGCCGGAUCUCCUUGGAUAAAGCUUGUCUGUAAUCUUCACACGCAACAUCAGCUUUCCAGAUACCACAGACCACUUUUUCAAAGUGCUCUAACAGAGUUAAAACUUGUGAAGCUGGCAGCUCCCACUACCGUGCUAUGACCAAGGAGGGUAAAGGAAUAGCAUUAUUACUUGAUGUUAGGGAGACUCCUAUAUAUGUCGACCUCCAUCCCCAACGAACAGGCAGACCUGCAAAAAUGCUCAACCCUUCCUCUUAUCUGAGAGGGCACUCCCAACGAAGCCUUUCGAAAUAUUCAGCUUUCUUUCCCCCCGAUAAUACCUCUGUAAACAAGCUAUACUAGAGCAAGAAUAUCUCAUAUCAUCAGGGUUAAAAGCAAGAGUAUCCCAUAUCAUGCUUUUUCCCUGUCUUUUCCUUUGGCCUUGUUCUUACUUGCAAGACAAGGAGAAAAGAGAGCAAUCAGUCAGCACUUGGAAUCAAGCUUCCAGCCAGGAACUGACUGCCUGGAACCCCUUACCCUGGCAUUGCUCUCGAGUACUCAUCUUCAACAUCUUAUGCUUCCAGGGAAGAUACCGCAUCUGCCUGAGGAACAGAUAGGGCAAGUGAGAAGGAUACAAGGAAGCAUGUGGAGACAAGCGUAACAGCACACGUGCCGAUACAUCCACUACUCUGUCAAAAGCAAAAGUAUCCCAUAUCAGCAGGGUCGAACGUACUCUAGAUUUGAUGGACUUGUUUUGACCCUCAAAUUCUUCAGUCGGCCUUAUACUUUGGAGGAAACCAUAAAACCCUCCAGCCCAGUUCAAGAAUAAGCCUGUGGAAAGUUACUUCUUCAAAAGCAAAAGUAUCCCAUAUCAUCUCUUCUCAUUUUUCUUCUCUUUAUCCUUCAUGCUGCCUGCAAGAUAGGGAGAAUGUGAACAAUCAGCCGGAGCUCUGAUUGUUUACCUUGUCUGUUACCUCUUUCAGCAGAUCCCCUAGCUCGGCGACUUGGGGGACUCCUACUACAUGGUUUGUAUCGCGCUUGACCAAGCCUGAAACUACAAGUAAGCUUCAAGUGACAUUGAUACAUUACCUUGUGCAUCUCCACCAGUUACAGAUACCACCCCUGGAUGGAGGAAGAGUACUUCCAGAGAAGAUUCCACAUCUACCUAUGAGACAGAUAAGGAAAGUCAAGACGAUACCACACUCCGGUACUUAGAAGUUUCGUGGUUACGAGAUCAUUCUCCCACAAUAUUUCCUAAUGUCAUUUGUACUAAAUCAUUCACUUGUACUCCCUAAAGGAGAGCUUGAACCUAUGUACUUGUGUAAACCCUUCACAAUUAAUGAGAACUCCUCUAUUCCGUGGACGUAGCCAAUCUGGGUGAACCACGUACAUCUUGUGUUUGCUUUCCUAUCUCUAUCCAUUUAUAUACUUAUCCACACUAAUGACCGGACCAAUCUAGCGAAGAUCACAAAAAGUGACCGUUUUCGCUACCUAGGAUCUAUCUUGCAAGAGAACGGAGAAUUAGAUGGAGAUCUCAACCAUAAAAUACAAGCUGGAUGGAUGAAGUGUAAGAGUGUAUCCGGCGUGUUGUGUGAUCGUCGUAGGCCACUGAAGCUCAAGGGAAAAUUUUAUAGGACGGCAAUAAGGCCAACGAUGUUGUAUGGCACAGAAUGUUGGGCGGUGAAGCAUCAACACGUACACAAAAUGGGUGUAGCGGAGAUGAGGAUGCUUCGUGGGAUGUAUGGGCACACGAGAAAGGAUAAGAAUGGGAAUGAGGAUAUCCAAGGUAAAGUAGGAGUAGCCAAAAUUGAAGGAAAUAUGAGAGAAAAUCGGUUCCGGUGGUUUGGACAUGUGCAAAGAAGGCCUACUGACGCUCCGGUUCGAAAAUGUGACUACGGGACAGAAGUUCAGGGCCGAAGGGGUAGAGGAAGACCUAGGAAAACUUUGGAAGAGACCCUAAGAAAAGACUUGAUUACUUGGAUCUAACGGAGGACAUGACACAAAACCGAGCGCAAUGGCGUUCUAAGAUUCAUAUAGCCGACCCCACUUAGUGGGAAAAGGCUUUGUUGUUGUUGCUUCCUUUCCCUUUCCGGUCCUUUCUUUAUCAUUUAUUUUUUCUGCUUUCUUCUUUCUUCCUUUCCCUCACCAUGUCGGUACCCAGGCUUCAACCUUCACUGCACGAUCGCACGACCUCGACACCCAGGGCUUCAACCUUCACCGCACGAUCGCACGACCUCCGACCAAGACCUCGACACCCAGGGCUUCAACCUUCACCGCACGAUCGCGGAGCUCAACCUGGACCACCUCAACAAGGUGUUCAUGGCCGUCGGGUUUCUGAAGACAUGAAGACGAAGUGGCCGGUGGCGUUCACGAUCGUGCGAUCGCGGAGCUCAACACGGACUCGCUACUGUGAAUGGAGUACAUGAAGACGAACCGGCCGGUGGCGUUCACAAGGUCGACGGGAGACGGCCUCCAGUUCAAACUUCCUUCGGACGCCAUGCUGGCGUCACCAUGGCAUCAGAUAGGCCGGUCCCAAGGUCUGUCGAUUUUAGGCCGGCCUGUGGACUGGCAUGGGCUGGGUGCCAGUCAAUUGGGUCGGCUAGAGCAAAUUCACUGGGUCCUGGCCUAUUUUUUCGGCUGGGUGCUGGGCAAAAAGUCCUCCAGUGGACUUGCUCUUACUAUAUAGAAUUCAAAAUAAUUAUACGAUUGCCAUUUUUUGUUUACCGGUCAACUGUAUUCCCAACGACCUUACCCGCACAAUCAAUCUUGAUAACCAGGUUUCCACUAACCUCCUUGUACUCGAUUGUGUUCGCAUGCAUGAGCCAAGGUAGGUGCAUUACUAUUUGCAUUCUGAUAAACAACAAUGAUUUUUUAUGAAUAUUGCAGACUAGAAUUUCCAAUCAUUCCCAAGGGAGAACGGUUCAAUCAUAACAUCAUGGGCUAAGAAUACAAUUUCAUGUUUAAGUUUUUCUCCACAUACAUCACGUUAACUUGGUGUUUUUUACUUUCCUAGCAUGUUCCCUUCUGUGCAUUUUCAGCUUUUAAAUAGUGACUUAUUAGUGAAAAAGCAGAUUCACAUGACGAAGACAUAAGUAUAAAAUUACUUGUCACUAAUUCAGUCAUCAAGCUUAAGUCAUCUAUUUUAAUCUUCAAAAUUAACACAAUAAGCUAGAAAAUUCAGUUCAUGAAAAUCUUGCUCAAUGUUGUUUGACUUGUUUCCUUUCUUAAACGUUUAGAUGCUCAUUAAUUAUAUGCUAAUAAAACUUGCUCUUCAUCUUCAAAUGGAUCAUAAUCCAAUAUAGCUCUGUUACCAAUUAACUAGCAUAACUACAAGUCUACAAGACAACUUUGGUAAAUCCGGUGCCGGCAGGAUCAUUUUCUUCUUCUUUGUGUUGUGUGGCUCAGGUUUUUUUUCAGUCUUUUACAAUUUUAAAUUGAUUGUCUCUACAUUAUCUACCAUGACCUACGAACAAUUGAAACAAUCACCCUCCCAAAAUAAUAUGAUCGGUGUUGCAAGGGAUUGUAGCUUAGUUGUUUACAAGCAGAUAUUUUUUUAUUUUUUUUAGUACAUCUUCUUUAUGUUAAGGAAGAGAAGAAGUUUGGCUAAGCCACACAAUGAAUAGCCUAAUUUGAUAUCAAAUUCGUCAUCUACAAUAUUCGAACCUAAGGCCUCUACUUAUAAGUGAGGAGGAAUAUCAUUAGAUCGUAGUACUAGGUGUUGCAAUUAGUCAUUUUUUUGUUGAGAAUAAAUCUCAUAUUAAUGAAAUGAGAGACUUUGUAUGUGCUUAUAAUAAGUAGUUGAGGUACUCUCCCUAUUGUCAAAUUUUUUUUGGUGGAACUUCAACAUUUUUCAUGCUAUCAAAACAAGUUGUCUCAUGUAUGACACAUAAUGGCUUUACGUGAUCCAUAUCUUUCGAGUUGUAUUAUUCACAUGUUAAACUUAAAAUUCGUCAUACGUAACGGAACAUAUUAAGAAUGAAUCUCAUAUUAAAAAAAAAAAAAAGACUUUGAAAUCUCAAGUUUAUUCUAUUUCCAUCCAAAGUUCUAUAUUUGAUUUCCCAUCUCCAAAAUCGUUCCUAUAAAGAAAAAGAAAAAGUAUAACGUACGUGUAGGGCUUUGGAGAUAAGAAAUCAAAUAAAAAGACAACAAUAUGACCCCACGAAAAGUACAGAGGGAAAAGAGGAGUCCUUCUUUGUGGGCAGAAAGGUGCAGACUUGUUAUAAGUCUUUCAACACCUAAUUAUCAAAAGCAAAUUGCAGAGUUCGAGAGUAGUCUGGAUCUGUUGAUUUUUAUAAUCUAUGGAAACAAGUCCCUUCAUCUGAAAACUUGUACGCAGUAAGUUCCUCUUGCAACUAUAUAUGCGAAAUUCAUUAUUUAUUAAUGAAUUAUUUCAUUUUUCUUGAAGUUUGUAUAUUUAAUUAAAGAUUUCAUCAAUAACCAGCUAUAUAAUUUGUGCUGUUUUCAGCCUUGAUUAUUCCAUCAUUCGGUCUGGAUUUGUUGACGAUAAGUGCAAACAAGUGCCCUCAUGACCUGACAGGCUUCCAUGUAACUGCUGCUUGCUUCAGAUCAUG
rnacentral:lncRNA from 1 species